UAACAAUAACACAACACUCUCGGCCGCCCAAGAGGACAAUCUCUCAAAUACACAUGUUGGUGUUGUUGACCCAUUUUUCUUUUCUUUGCUGAUUCCUCUCAACGAAAUUUUCCAUGUUGCACUAAGUUACUUACGGAUGUAUGCAUGCGGUCCGGGAACACUUUGGGGUGAACACCCAUCCGAACAAGUAGGGUCAAUAGUUCAGCAUUUAGGCCGUAACAUUUAGCAACCAAAAAAUAUUUCACCCAACAAGUGCUCUCCGAACCAAGCUAGAUAAUCUCCUAUCACUAGGCUCACCAACCACCCUGGACUUUUUUUUUUAUUCCUACCGGAUAUCAAAACAAACCAUAAGGAUUGUUUCCAGCCAUGAGUUCCCCUAUGACAUAAUCGCUCUUGGGUGGGGUGGGCCAUUCCAUCAAAUCUUUGAGAAGGGGCCCAGUCUCGUAUUUGAUGGUCGGCGUGGCGAUAGGCUUCGUUUCUACGACUGCCUUCCCAGCCGUUGAAAGACUGAGCGAGAACGGUAAGGGGCGCACAAACAAAGAAUGUCGUUGUGUGGGGAUGCGAUUCGCCAAGCAGGGGCAAAGAAAGCCGUCCGACCCUACCGGAUUAGGAAUGUGAAGGCCUCUCCUUCGAAAGGAGACCGGGGAAAGAAAGAGCUGUGCUAUUGACCGGACCCUUUUUUCUCAUUUUGUUUGAAGCGGGCCAAAUAGAGAAUGAAAUGCAUAAAAAAAAUAGGGGAAGGAAGUCAGAGACUCCCUUUUUUUUGGUUUAAGGGAUGCUCGCCCUACCGAAGUACCAAAGGCUUUUGAGGCUUACACCUCCCUAUUACAGGACCUAAAAAAAGGCUUUCAUUAGCGCCCUUAGAAUCUAAGCCUUUUGAAGCGCCAGUAGUUGUAGCUGUGGCCACACCAACCCUUUCAUUCUUAUCGCUCCGGAUUCCGAUCUAUAUGACCUCCGGGCGGUACAAAGUAAACCUCUUCCGUAGAAGCAGGUAGUAACCUAACCUUUAAGAAUUUGUUCAAGGGAGGACCCUCUGAUCUAUCAAUGGAAAGAUCUCCAUGUGUGGCGUGAUAAGGAAUCCUAGAAAAGAUCGAUUGAGACUCCCUCCACGGUCCCACGAAGAUCUCUACGUACUUGUCCAGGACAAGCGAGAUCUUCGGCCUGCGUGCCUGGGAGCAGCUCAAACAAAGAAGAGUCUGGUCCGGUCUGAAUUCAGGCACGGCCCGCCCGUCUGCUGCUAGGUCCGGAAAUGGCGCCGGGCGAGGGCGCCGCUAUGCCCCUUAAUGAAUCGAAUGGUCCUUCGACCUUCGUUUGAUUCCGACGGCCGGCAUAGAUCUCAUGAGACCGGCCCACUAUUUCUACGAAAAAGCCCUGCCCUCUCCUUCGCUACUAGGAAAGUAAGCAACUUCUAUUAGCGCCGGACCUUGAGUCGAAUUGAUCGUGUCAUGUGCAACGUCCAUUAAUGAUGGUUCAUUAAUGUCCAUUGAUUUAGACUCCUUCCCCCUUCUCCACUACGAAAAAGAUCGAGAGGGGCCCGAAAGCCCCCACAGAACGGAAACGGAAUUCGAUUCACUCCCCAUUCUCUCUUGAAUAAAUAAAGCUCGCCUUGGGCCGGGUCUUUCCCUGUUGUUCUGUUCCCGCCACGAGAAAGACGCACGGAAGAGGUAUUCCCAGCGCGCGGAGGAUCCGUUGAGAGUUUGUCUCGGUAGGGAACUGUACGAUCUUUUCCCCUAUUGUAUUGAAUCAAUAAAAAAAAGAGGUCAGUGCUACGGCCCCAUAUUGUUUGAUCCAAUAUUGACCGGGGACGAGCCCCCACUUCCAUAGAUCCUUGGUUUGACCUCCCGUAGUGGUCCUUGCUUUUAAGAAAGCGGAGCGGGGCCAAUUUCUCGUACUUGCUCAGUGUGCCCCCUUUCUUCGAGUGCCCCGCCCGGUUCACUGGGCUGUUGGCUUACCAAGCACUUGCCCGCUGCUCCCGCCGCCCGCUUGGCGGGCGGAGCGCUCGUUAUCCUGACUUUUCUCUCUGCUGGGGCCCUCCCAUUGCUAUAGCCAUAAGCUAUGGCAGCUCCAGCUCGCAACCACAGGGGCCCGCCCCGCGAGGCCAGAGUGGGCUCAGUGGUCAGCCUCCAUUCGAAUUAUGUUAGGGGGUCUUUCGCUUUUGCCAGAUCUAGAGAGAUACUACAAGUCCUCCGUCCCAGAUUCCAUCGCCGCGGCCAUCUGGUUCACCGGUACUACCAAAAAGUCUCAUGCUUACGUUACUGUUAUUGAUGGUUUGAUUAUCUUGGACCACGAGGACCCCAGUCGUGCUUCUGGUUUCCAUUCCAAUCAUCAUAUUGAUGAUAAAUCUCCUCGUGCUCUGCCAUAAGAACUUGGAGUCCGUAUCAUGGUGAAGAUAAGGUAAGGCUGUGAUUCUUGCUCAAAAAACAGACCGAACGCCUUCGAGUUAUUGGCUCGUCCAACCCGGCAGCAUUCAUGAGUCGCUAGUUCAACUGUCCCUCGGAGACAGGGUCGAGAAGUACCAUGCAUGGUUGCCCCCCGUCCUUUCUUUCUAUCAGUCUCACCCAGCAAGCCACCCCAACCCUACAGCCAAAAAAGGUAAGCGCCUAGCGCGAGCCUUAUUUAUUAGUUUAGUAAAGUCAAGCUUUGGCUCCCUAAAGACUAAAGAAAUGGAUAAAAAAAGGGGGGGACUUAUGCAACGGGCUAUGCCACCCAAACCAACUGAGGGAAGUCGCAUCCGUCCCAUCGCAAGCACCUACAAUGUCAUGAUCACAUUGGUUUACCCUAGUUUCUUUGGUAGUUUAACGUACGGUCGCCCCUCCAACAAGAAAAGGUAUAAAUAUGGAAACUUCUCUGCCAUUUGGAUCGGAGAAUUUAUGGAGGAAAUCGGGUUUUAAAUUCCCAGAAACCGCACGAUUAUAUAGCCAAAGGGAAUAGGCCGCGCCUAAAAUCAUCCCAAGCGCUGCUAAUGUGGCUACUAAGCUAUUUCUUUGGAAAGCUCCUACUAAGAUGAGAAAUUCCCCGAUAAAGCUGCUAGUACCAGGUGAACUCAUAUUGGCCAAAGUGGAAGAGAAGAAAAUGGUAGAGAGAUUCGGCAUGGUGCUCACUGAACCUCCGUAAUAUCUAACAAGUCGAGUCUUAUGUCGGUCAUAUAGAACACCAACACAUAGAAAAAGGGCUGAAGAAACCAGUCCAUGACUUGACAUCGGUAGAAUGCUACCUCCAAUUCCCUGUAUGUUCGAUAGAGCCAAAGAUUCCCCCCACUGAUCGGAGUACGCCGAUUACCCCCCGAACCGUACAAGAUAGUUACCACCUAUCAUACGGCUUUCUAACUUAACUUCUUUUUCUGGUCGUUCCGCUCUGUCGAUCGAUGGUAGUAUAAGAGAUCUGUAACCCCCCGAAAUUUUUUACAUAAUGGUUCCUGCUUCCUACCCAUAGUUAGCAUGUAUCUCCCCCGGUCAUACUUUAGUAUCACAUCGUAGACCCCCACCCCAACGCUAUCUUCCUUAUCAGUGAACCGGAACAUAGUGCAUAGGUACUCUUCGAUGCAGCGGGGACGAGACGACGUGACAUACUACGAUCACGUACAGAAGUGCUGUCCUUCGUCUCGGCAAUAUGGAACCUCUCAACAGCUCCCGUUCUUUUAUGGGGUCCUAUCGGGAUAGGUAGGCCCAAGCCUUUUCCCUCCCCCCUCCCUCCAUAAGACCCUCUUUCUCUUUCCCGAGAGGGAAAGAAGAUAAGAAAGGAUUCCUUUUUUUCUUUCAUGUGAACGGCCCUAUCUUGUAUCGAAAGGUUUUUCGUGCUAUACACCACGUUGAGAAAGACCAACCUCCUAUGUACCGUACUCUUUUUGUACCUCGAAAGGGGGGUCCUCCUUAUGAUGCUACGGACGGCUGUCCGAAGUGCAAGGGGUAAACUCGGACUCGGAUAGGAUAGGAUUGUGCGCGCCGGGCCCUUCGGGUCUCAUAUUUUGGCCGAGUUUACCGUACCUCCGUCCCCUAUGUUAGGCGGCCGUAAUAUUUUGUUACGUUCUACCGCUGUUACGCCAGAAUAAAAGGUUCCACACGAGCUCCCGUUCUGCGGCGUGGUGGCAGGACCGCUAGGGGAGUGGCUCCGGGUAUAGAUAGGGUGAAAUCUGCAGGGGUCAUGCAAAUACAUAGGCCCCUUCCCUUCUCUUUUGGAUGAAUGGGGUGGUUUAGAAGGCGCUUUCCGAUCUACGGUCCCUCGGAGCGAAGGGUUAGGCAGGUAGUAUGGGCCCUCUGACUUCCAGCUAUGUGCUGUGCGGCUCCCGCGAAGCGAAUGAAGGGAAGCUCUUCGAGCUUCCGGGUGAGCUUACGCUUACUCUCAGCCUCUUUGAUUGAUAGGCGGGCGGGCUAAGCCCCCUACUUAAGAUUCAAUUCAUAAGGCUAAUUUUAUGUUGUCGUGAGGCUUUGGUUAGGCCGACUACUAUAGGCUAGCUACUUCUAGCUUCUAUACUGGCCCUUCCACUUUGGUGUAGUUUUCGUUUGUAUUGGUACUGAAUGAACAUAUCAAACAAAGGCGAGCAGUAUAAGCCCUUCUCCGGCCGGCCUGGGAAAAGCAGCGAACUCUAGAAGCUAGGGCUUUGUUCACCUUUGGACACGAACACUAUUCCGUUCUCAGCGGAAACCCGCCUUAGAGAUUGAACGGCAAUAAGAUAAGUCAACGUUCAAUCUAAGACAGCGCUGAGCGCUGAUAGCUUGUAGUGAACAGCCCCAUUAUGAAACCAACCGAAAGCAGCCUUUGGUACUUAAGUAGUUAAGGUUUGGAACCCUUGCAACUAUGAUAGAAAGCCGUUUGCUUGUUGCCAAACCCUUCGCCUUUCUUUUGAAUCAAAGUAGGUCGCGACUGUUGUAUUUUAGUCGGUCGGGGGAAGCGGUAGCUUCGUGCUCCGCUUCUCUCGCGCUUGCUUGCGUGAAGGCUUAGAGCCCUUUUCGCUAGGUCCAAAAGCUUCCCAAAAGAUCUGAUCCAACAGAAAUCCCGCAUUGAGCGUAGCUGAUAUGCGGCUACGGCUAGCCGAUCAUAUCAUUCCAUAAAAUCAAUCUAUAUGUAUAGAGAGAUCCCCUAGAUAUACAGAUAGAAUAGAUGUUCAUGGAUAGACAGACAUUCCAUGGAUUCUUAGUUUUUGGGCUGAAAAAGCUCGUCGAUCCAAAUGAAUCAUUCUUCCGGUCUCUCUUCGCUCCCCACCCCGAAACUGACCCACGGCACAGCGCCCAUUCGCUUCGCGCGCGGGAAGGCAACGAAGUUCAGUUCAUGAGACCGCAGCGCAGCGGAGUGGAGCAGCCGCGACACUUCCUUACUGGAUCUCGCUGGUGGCCACCUAAACGGUAGGUAGGCGGCGGAUGUGUGACGUUUGGAGUUGUCGUUCGUGCACCUGUCCCCAAUGGAAGAAUGAGUGAUCUGUUCCCCUGCGGAUCAUGGCCUUACCACUCGGUCCCCGAUGGCCAGCGGGGAUUCGGUAUAGCAGCUCAGGUUCGUUUGCGCUGCGCGUUCCCGCUGGACUGGACACAUGUUAGCUGUAGGAAGUAUGGUUCCGAAAGUGACUUCGGUUCGCCAGUUCAGGCUCAACUCCUCGCUUUACGUUAGCGGACCUACAGGUCGGGCCGGGGCUCUGCGCUCUUUCUUUCUGUGUGGGACGAUACCGGGGAGAGAGGGGAAUGCGUCGAGGCGGCGAGCAAGACAACUACAUUUUGGCUUUUCCCUCCAUGAGAUGAGCCCAGUGCAUUGGACCGAUGGAUAAGAGAACUGAGCUGGCCUAAAAAGCGCUUGGGCGCUCUACGUACGAUGUAGACUCCAUCAGAUACAUAUCGAUUUCUUUCUGAUGGAUCAAGAAUAGAUAGUUGUCUCAUCAAUAGAUAGAAAUAGGAGAUUUCCCCCUAUUCUUGAGAGAUUCCCUCUCUAUCUCUUUCGAUCUAUCAGAACAGAUCAGGCUAUCUAUCAAUCGAUUUGAAAAUAGCACGCUCAUCUCGCUUUUCGUUCAUUUUCGCCACGAAAACAUAGCCGCCAUAAUAAGAAGCAGGCGAAGCAGCUAGAAGUACUCGCUUCACGCCCUUGAAUUAUUAUUCACGAAUGAAUUGGGAAAGCCAACAGAAAGAUUCGAUUCUGACUUCGUAGAGCCGGUGCUGCUGUUGCCUGCGCGUAGGGCCGUCCCCCACUCCCGUCCCGGGGCGCUAAGGGGCUUUUGUUUUUGGAACAGACGGCAGUGUUUUGCUGACGCCUCGAAUCAAGCUUUUAUUGCGACAUGCUAUGCUUUCUCCCCCAUUGCUAGUAGGUUGAUGGGUCGCGCGCCCGGCACACAUGUUUUGGCCUUGUGUGUCCAUAACUCAAAAUAGGUGACCUAACGGCCGCCGCCCGACUAAACAUACCAAUAGUCACCAGAUUCAUAUGAGCUACUGAGGAGUAAGCAAUGAUCUUCUUAAGAUCGAUCUGCCUUAAAGUGGUCGAGGAAGUAUAUAUUAUAGCAAUCGCGCUUAAAGUAUAAAUGAAAGGAGUGGAACAAAGUGUCGCUUCGGGAAACAUGGGUAUUGAAAAUCUUAAAAACCCGUAGGUUCCCAAUUUUAAAGCAAUUCCUGCCAAGAUGACGGAUCCUGCCGUAGGUGCCUCUACAUGAGCUUCGGGUAACCAAAUAUGAACUGGUACCAUAGGCACUUUGACGGCGAAAGAGGCGAAAGAAGCAAUCCAUAGAAAGAUUUGGCGCCGCUCACUAAAUUCUGUGGUUAAUGAGAUUUGUAAAUCGGUUGUUCCUGUUUGGAGAAGAAUCAACAGAAUAGCUAAUAGCAUAAAAACAGAUCCAAGUAAAGUAUAAAGGAACAACUGAUAUGCUGCCUUGAUCUUUCUUUGUCUCGAACCCCAUACCCCUAUAAUAAUGGUAGAGUCAGGGGUGGCCCCAAAGCGGAAUUGACCGGUGGUGCUUGGUCGAAGCUCCAGUAGGUAGCCACUCCCUUCUCAGAGAACCGUACGUGAGACUUCCGCCUCAUACGGCUCCGUCCCGAGCUUCCGUCGUCGGCCUUGGCAUUAAACCACUAUCUAUGCAUGUAUUUUCAGCCUGGACUGACGAAUCUUUUGCUUCUCGGGUGGUGUCGAACAAUGGUGCUUGCGUUGCGGGAGAUGCCCGCCCGUAGGGUCCGGCCUGCUUCCCGCCCGAAAGAACCGCUCACUAGCUAGCCGGACUAGUGGGGGCCCUAUCUGGAGACAUACUGAAAACCAUGCCUUUCGAACCGAACGCAAUGCCCGUCUUCCAAAUCAAAAAAAGGGCUCGUUGGGAAGAAAGAUUACGUGCGGCCUGUAGAGCACAUGUAAGGCACAGUCGGGUUGCUCACGCAGCGGAUCACUCUCUCAGAGAGAGAGAGAGGUGUGAAAGUAAUAGCCUUAUGUUAUGGCCGCCCCCCGACUUACGGCCUUUACGCUACUACUAUUGUGAUGUGAGCGGUUCAAAUUGGUUGAAUCUUUCUCAAUCAUCCUGGCCGGAACUUGUAUGCAGCACUUGUACGGAGCAUAAAGGCUUGGAACUCUUUUCUUAUCUGAAUCUUAAGGACAGGACCCUACCCUAUUCUCGAACCCUCUGCCGAGCUCUACCCUGCCCGCAUUUCCUUGUGUUUUGAAGAGGAAAAAAAAAUCUCUCUACCUGCUGCCAACAGUCUUUCUUCGGAAUUAUCUGAACGGGUCGAUCCUCCCAUCCCGUUUGUUUUAGCAACUUAUCCUAAGGUCUCCUCGCCAAGAGCUCCCCGGCGACGACAGAGGAAGCAACCCGUCUGCUGUGGCGGGGCGGCUUUUUUCUUUCACAAUAAGACCUGGACGAUUAUCCCUACCUUCGGUAGCUUACGAGUUUACGUCCAUCCCUGGUCGGGUACAGUUUCCUUUCGAUUUCUCCCUUGUAGCCGUUACCCGAAUUCGCGCAAGUGUGUCCACACCCCCCAAACUUACUUGACGAGGAAUCCUUUCUCGCGAACAAACACAACCCCUACACACACCUAGGAGCACCCCCUCCUGCAUAUCCAUACAAGACCCGAGUAGGCGGGUCGAGGUCCUACGAGGUACCCACUACUCGGAGUACCCUCCCAAAAGGAAAAAGAUGUGUCUGUCAGGUUCGGUUCUUCUUAGUUGGGUUGGGCGGGUUCGACCAGAAAUGCUAUGCUUACACACAAGACUACCCCUCUUCCCGAAAGCUUCGCGGGGACUACUUUAGGACGACGGACGACCGCCCGUAGGGGGUUUACUGCACAAGGCCCCUGCAGAGGAAAGGCUUUAUCCCAGCGAAUAGAAGAUACUCAGCUCCGCACAACAUAGGGAUUAGCACACUUUCGGGAAGAACAUAGAAUAGUAGAAGAUCCAGCAUGCAGAACACGGCGAUCAUUAUAAAUUCACGAAUUAGAAAUGCUGUAAUAUACUCUUUCCCAUAACUUCUCAUACCAGACCAACCCACUAAAAUGCAAAUAGGGAUCAGAAAUGUGGUCAAUAUCACGAAGAAUAAAGAGAUACCGUCUAUACCCAAAUAAAAAUUGAUGUUUUCAUAAGGAAGCCAUCGAAGGCUUUCCACAAAUUGAGAUUUGGCCGUAGAAGGAUCGAAUUGUAUCCGAAGAACAGGGGGAUACAAAAAAGUAAUAAGAGAGGCGCACAGACCAAUUAAUCGUAUCGGUCGUAUUCUUGAAUUUGGAAUGAAAAGAGGAGUAAUGCUUCCUAGCACGGGACAAAGAAUAAGACCACUUAGAUCAGAAUAGCAUUCACAGAAAUGUUCUAACAUAGAGUAGAAUCGAACAUGGAAGAGAUUCAUUGACAACAGUAAAAAGAUGGGCGCCUAAUUCCAAUACAAUAGGGGUCUAUCAGUGCAAGUCAGCUGAACACCGUGAUUGAUGAGUGGGUAGGUGGGUUAGGUGCACCUCUCGCCCAGUGGGAAGUAAUGAGGCUAGUCUCCCCCCCUUUCCCCCUGUCCGUGUGUGGGCCACCCUUCUGAAAGGCGAAAAAGCGGGAGAACCCACUUAGACCCAAUAGCGGGCAGCACGAAGCACCCUAAGAUAGGGCACGCUCUGCUGCGUGCCAUCCCGCUCGACCUGGCCCAAAUACCUAUUUAAGGUAUUCUCAGAGAGAGCCGCCCCACCCCUAGUAGGGUGGUUAAAGAGGAGGUUGCGGAUUUCUGACCUCCGAGCCAGAACUAUCUGGGGGGGAAACCCAUCCCCCACCAAUGCGGCCUCGACCCUCUUUUCCAAGAGGAACUGCUUCUCCAGGAUACCCAAAAAGAGUGGGAGGUGCCUGGGCUCGUUCCUCCCGAUAAAAUAGAAGGACAGCCGGUGUUGAAGCUCCGCUCUCCUUUGGAUAUCAGGAAGGAGAGGGCGUUCGAAUUCCGGAACCAGAACGGCGCGCGGAAUGGGCGCAACCUCGGGCUCGGGAAUGUGCGGCUGUGCUUCUCUCCCAGGAGGGUAAAAAGGGCCAGACGGGGAACCCCUUCCCGCGUCGCACGCGGCAAGGAAGCCUUCAAGAGCCCCGCCCGAAUAAUAAUUCAGAAAUAGGAGAGGGAGAAGAACGAAUACCAAAAGAUAUUUUAUACUCUUUGUUUUGACUCCUCGAAUAGAAAGGGUAGAAAAAAGGAAAAAUAAUAAUACACUACAUAAGAAAAAGCUGGAAUUCGAUCUUGGAAAUAAUCGACUCAAGCUCAUCAUACCCUUUUUUGUGACUCGACUCAAGCUCAUCAUAGCCCUUUUUGUGACUCGACUCAAGCUCAUCAUACAUAAUUCGAUUUCCUCUUCUUCGUGUUCUAUUGAUCAGAAGCAUCCAGCAGCGCCUCGCCGGUUUAGAAUUCGAACACAAAAUGGCCAUACUUAAGCAAUUCUUCUUAUUCUUCUUCUUUCUUAGUUGAAGUUCCCCUUCUCCGGCAGCUAGUUCAAUGGUUUCUAAGCUGGACGACUGGUAUUCUCUGGAUGGACGGUAAAUCCAGGUAUGCUGCUGGUCCUUAGAAGGACCAAGGGAAUCCUGGUCUUCUCUCCUAACGAAUUUCCCCUUUGCUACUCCCUUUCGCUACCUGGAGCCAGGUUUUUUCUUAUUAUAGAUAACGUACGCACAGGUGAUCUAUCUAAUUAAUGGACUAGCUUCACUAAGACUCAUUCGAUCUUCUAUAGCGACUUUCGGACCAUUCCAUUCAUUGUCUUCUUCUCAACCUCUCCUCGGUCACUGAACUGGGUUACUGAACUCCACCUUCUCGGAAUCCCAUUUCAGAAAGUCAGGUCGAAGGCAAAUGGAUUCCCUUGCUUGGGCAAUAAAAAAGUCUAUGAUUCUCAUCUCGAAAAAAGAGUUUAAAGCUACGGCACCUCCUAUAACUACACCACCAAGACCGGGUAACAGAACAGCGGCCAGAGCAGCAGAUUCCAUAGCCGCGGUUCUUCCUCCAUCAAAAGGCUCUGAGCCUGCUACGUAGCUAGGCUACGAGAUUGAUUCUCUGAUGAUAGAAAGAGAGAGGAUAGAGGAUCACGCUUACAAGCAGCCUUUUCCAUCGUCUUUCGCUGACCCUGGUUCUAUCAAACCCGCUUCUUCAAUCCUGGUGUGAACUUCUUCCUGCCUUCUUACCCAAGAGCUCUGAUUCCGCUUAAAUAAAAGCAGCUCUUCUUCCUUACUCUUUCGAGUAAGCAUUUUGAAACUUCCUUAAACAUCUGCUUCAAAAAGCUAAGCCCCGGUCUCACUGAACUGGGUCAAAGAACUACCUUCCUGGAGCUACCUCCUUACUUAGAUCGUUCGUUCCCCAAUUCAAACUCGGAUCAGUUGGCAAGUGGAUUCCGUGCCUGGGUACGAAACUCUAAACGCAAAAUUCGAUCAUUCAAGUCGGAUAGCAUUUAUCUACGCUAGGAUCCGACCUACAUGAACUUCUUUCUUCUCUUAUGAUAUUUCUAGAAAGCGAAAAAAAGAAAUAAUGGGGAAUAGAAUACAAGUGUUGAGUACCAGCUUCUACUCUUGUGAAAGGUGGGCCUGACCUCUUCCUUUCUAUUUAGAAAGUGAAAGUCCUUGCCGGUGUGACAGUAUGAGUAGACGGUGCUCUUCUCUUUCCAGGUUCAUAAUCGGUGCUAUUGAAUCUGCAGUUAAGGGAAUAUCGCCAGUUCUUUGAAAAAGAGUUCCGCUCAGGAAUCCCUUUGAGGGAGGUUUAGCCUAGCCUUCAGGUCCUAUAAAAAAAAUGGAGCUUACCGGUUUAUGGAAUUGAGAAAUAGAUGUCCUACCAAGGCUGUAUGGAAUAGAAUGAAGGGUUAGGGUUCUUGCGGGAAGAAGGACAAACCGGGCCCCUAGUGGUCCUUAUCUUAUCACGCCACACAUGGAGACAUCUCAAAUAGGUAAAUUGGUUUGGGAAGACGGGGGAAAAACAUCCAUCGUUUAGGUUUCUGAGUAGCUAAAGUUAAGAUAGAAUAGGUCAUCACAUCCUGGGGUUGAAGAAUGAGCAGCUUUAAAAAGGAAAUGGCAAGCAGGAAGGAGAGUAGUAACGUCGUAUUAUCCAUCCGAAGCAGUAGCAGGCCAGGCACUGGUCUUUCUAUCUUCUGGCUGUUCCCAGAAGGGAUUUCCGAGCUUUUGAAAUAAUAGCUGUGGCACUCUCUUUCUUCCAUAGAGAGGGAACUUAUCCUUAGACUUUUGGAGCUUUGGCUUUGGUUUGGACCUGUACUAGUCCGAGAAGUGAGAGCACCAGGUUGGAAGAUGCUGGUUCGAGAGGACCUGGAAAAAUGCUAGUAAGAAGGAGGCUAGUUUGCUAGGUUGUAGAUCUUCUCCCUUAUUCUUUAUAGAGGAAUCCCCUAAAUUCAAAUAAGAUCUUUCUCCGCUCCGUCAAAAGCCUAAUUGAGACAAAUCAGCUCUUACUGUUCUCCGGUCUUUGCUCUUGAAGAUCCGCUCUUGAGAACCUCUAUCUCUUUCUUCAAAGCCUCAUUCGAAGCCUGUCAGUCUUACAUACAGUAUAUUACCCGCAAGUUCAUCUUCUUUGAUAGGAUAUUAGAUUAGUCAGCAAUCCAAGUUCCAGCUGGUUCUCAAACUUCAGAGGUGGCCUUACUUCCUUUUUAAAGCAAACAUGUGGACAUAAAAAAGAAUGAAAUUGAUAGAAUAGAGGAAGAUUAAUGUGCAGCUGAUUCUAUACCAGCCGAUUCAAUUGUUCAGCUACUUCGAAAAAACUUACUAUUAUGGCUAUGUAAGGGGACCGGCUUCCCCUUUUUCAAUCACCUCCUACCUUAAGGUAGGCCCACUGCUGAAUACCCUCAAUCGAAAGGUCAAGGAGAUUAUAUAACCCCAUAGUAUGAAGAGCUGCUCGGGGGAUCGCACCCCUUGGCCUAGGGUAUACAUUCAGAUCUGGAGGCAUACCUAAUUAACGAUAAGAGCAGAGAUCUCCUCUCUCCUUCGGACCCUCUACCUCUACUUCCCUUCCGCUCAUAAACAGCCUUCCAGCAAGGAGAAAGAGAUAAAGAAGAAAAUUCUCAAAUUCCCACAAAUGGUUUGAAUAAGCAUUCCUUAGAGAGGGAAUGUCGGAUGAGACACUAUUUGGCCUUCUUUCAGGAGUUGUAGAUAGUAUCACCUUUAGCUGGUAGCUAGCAAAGAAGUUAUCCCCUAUCAACGUAUAUAGUUGAGGGCAAACCGAGGGUUUACCCGCAGCUUCUGUCCAUGAAUCCUCUUUCGCUUGGUUACGGGACUAGAGCGAAUCGUCUCUUGUGCUACGGUCUAAUAUAUGUGUCAAAGAGCGGAUUCUCUUGCAGCGGAUACGGGGCAUGCCCCUGAGCCUAUUGAUUCAAUUCCUAGCAAGUCCUGUCUCUCUCCUUCACUUAAAACACAGCCUAUGAUGAUUCUCAAUUCCUUUUUUUGAAACUUCAGUAGGCUCCCCCUUCUUUGGCGAUAAGGCUCAUCAGUAGAUUGACUACGAGGCCGAAGAGUCUUACUACAGGGGUUACCACUCCUGCAAGACUGCUUUGGGUUCCAGAGUUGUUAUAAGGGCGGGACGGCGAGAGGAGGAAGCUACUACUACCGGGCGAGAUGUUAGUGGAAAAGAAUAGGGUUCAGAGGAGAGGUCACAAGCUACCACUACUACGUAAUCUACUUCUACUGCUACUUGAAAUCGAUUCUCUUUCAUGACUCUCUUUCUCAUUCUCUUUCCACCACUAGUUAGAAAUAGACUAGAGCAUUCCCUGGAACAGGCCGUAGAGAGGUAUUCAACAAGCGCCACUCAACUGCGCUAACUAAGCCCUCCAUAGAAGUUUAAGGAAGUAAAGCUACAUACUACUGGAAAGAGAUGGGCUUUCUCCUUUCUAUUUCUUGCGGGCUAUUGAUUUCGGGUUGAGACUUUGCUUGCUUACUUUCACGCUUCCUUCAGUGAGCUACUUAAGGUUUAAGGUAAGGGGCACUCCUAGCAUAGAUUACCAUUCUAACCUGUCUUUGCUGGUAGAUAGAUGCGCUUAAUUAGUUACCUGAAUUAAAGAGGACUCUUGAAUAAGUUGACUUCGCCUGGGCGUCAUCUUUCCUUUCAUUCACUAGUUGAGUACUUUCUCCUGUCAGAUAGAAGCUUUUCAAAGGGUGCUUCGCUUCCAGCUCUUCUUGUUCGAUACCGCUUCCCGUCCUUGUAAAUAUCAUCUCCUACCGCUCUUAUGGAUCAAUCGGUCAACUGUAGGAAACUGGCCAAUUGCUGUCAACUGGUAUCGGUACAACCACGAAUCUCUUGUUUUCUUUGUUUACAGCUGGCCUUACUUAAAUAGGAGUUCCUGCUUCUAGCUAGCUCAAUCAGUGCGCUGGAGUUCCGUUCUUUCAAUCUCUCCGCCAGCGCCAGGGAAGCGCUCUUCGGGCUGAGGUCCAAUUCAUCUUGUAGGCUUAUUGUAGAAAGGAAAUCUUCAAUCAAUCAUCAUCUACAUUAUAUAAUAAUAAUAUAUAUAUAAGAGAUGAAGUGGGAAAGGCUUCCCUCGGUACAACGAGGGAGGAACCAAGCCUUCGCUCGAUCACUGAACCGCCAGUCUUAACUCCUUGAAUCAGUCAGCAAAUUAGUAAGUCCAUCAAUCUGUAGUGGAAUAGUCUCACCAGCCCGUAGAAUAGUCCAGUAGUGGGUGAGUAGAGUCUGUGCUUUGGUGGGCACCGGGCAUCCAGUAAGAAGAAGUAGCUCCGCCAACAGCGCACGCAAGCUGCUCAGGAAGAGCACAACUCUAACUAGCGAAGAGAGGUGAUCAGCUCAAUUGAAAGAGAGGGAUACUCGCCUCUUUUCCAAGAAAGCCAUGGGAGUCCACGUUUGCGUGGGGCCGGGUACUUCUCCUUUAUCCCUUGCCUUGCUUUUUUGCUCGGCCACUCUCUGUUCUUAAGUAAGGGUUCCCCUCUCUCAAAAAAAAGAAUAUGUUAAUCGUUACCGAUACCAGGCAGAGUUGCUUUUCCUUGCUCCAGAGGAGAUUGGUAUUGGUAGAGUCGCAUUCAACCCCGUCUUUUUGCCCUUUGGCUGGUAAUCACAUCGGCCAUAAGGUGGUCUAUCACCUCGGUUGGGGAGAAAAGCUUUUUUGUUGUCGGAAAAUCCCUCUCUGCUUUAUUAAACUCUUCUCUUAGGCGAGAGCUCACUCAAUUCCUUUUUAAACUUUCGCAAAGCUCUCCUUUCCUUAGAGUGAGUUGGUUUUGAGUGAAAGCAGGUUUCAUCCUGACUUUCAUCGGGGACAGGUACGGGGUCUGGGUCGGUCGAUACGAUGAACGGGAAAUCCAAAAAUUUUGCUUCAUUGAAGUCCCUCAUGGAAGAAGAAUUGGCUGAUGUAGAAGGCUUAUUUGUUAUCCUAUCCACCACAUAGUUUACAUACUCAGACAGGCUGACUCCAGCGCCUAUAGUCAGAAGCCCUUAUAGCAAGUGCUAGCUCUAUUUAUCCUAUUGGGAUUGGAGCAAGAGUGGAAUGGAAGAAAGAAAGCAGUCCUUAUCUUCUUCUUCUCCUCCUCCCGACAUGAAGGAAUGCCCGAUAAUCCUUCGGGGGCUGGUAUGUCCUUUCAGUUCUGGUCUGGGGAACGCCGAUCAGAGAAAGCACUCCUAUACUGCCUGGUGUUGAUUCGGCAAUUUGCGUCACAUAAUACGUAAAAAAAUAGAGUCUCAAUUUUUUUUUUCAAUUUCUAAAGAACUAUCGUUUGUGAAUGUAGGUUGUGUCGGGGAUAUACUGUGGCUAGUAAGUCAUUUCGUUUGCAUUUUCUUCAACGAGACUGAAAACACAGCAAUGAUUUGUUUUAUGGACAGUUAUAUUAUUUCCAGCCCAAAUGAGGUAGUGCCUAAUGUCACCGAGAGCGAGUUUGUAGGGGGGCCUGAGAUCUUGAGAAUGGAUCAAGGAAAUCCUGAUGCUCCGCCAGCCAUUCCUCAUGCUGAACAGGCUAUGGGGGAUCUGGAUCUAGCCUUGCGAUUGGGGCCGCCGAGACCAACAAAAGAGGCUCUCGAAAGAGAGCUUUCGACCUUUCUUUCUUCCUUUGGAAAUAGGGAAGUUAGAAGGGAUGUCUUGGAAGGGACAAUAAGGAAACUCGACUUGAACAGCGCGUCCCCAGAAAAGCUUUUUUUUGAGGAUCCGACAACUUAUGCAGGAACUUUCCAACAGACCAGUUGCUGCUUCCACAGCUAAGAAGGCUUUAUUGAAAGCUUUAAAAGAGUGGGAGAAAGGGGACGCAUGAGCGUUGGAUAAUGGAAAGAAGGUAGAAUUGCUCGGGACCCCUAGUGAUCGAUUCUUUUUCUUUUAUAUAGGUAGGGUUGGGCAGCGACUCUACUCCUUGAAGUGAAGAAUCGAAAGUCGUCGUUCGUUAGACAAGGCCCACGUGCUGUGCAUCUCUGGUGUUCUGCUCGUGGGGAGAGGGAUGCGGGAAAGUGAGGUCCUCUCACCUGUGCUCACUUCAGUUUUAGAAGUCAGAUUGGAUUUCCAAUUGGUGCUCAACAGAAGGGUUCCAAACCUCUGAAAGGCGAGGCAGAUUUAACGCUACGCCCUUCCCUUAGCGCCUCCCUCUAGGCGGGGCUCACAACCAAAGGAUGCACGGGGUGAAGUUGCCACCAUGAACUAAGGAUUGGAAGGGUUGAGGAUAGAGUUUCUUUUUCAUUUCCAGGGUAGUUGGCAAGAGCUAUAGCAGCUUACGAUGCAGUUGAUUCGGAAACAUACGCCAGGGCGGUUGGGUGGGGAGUCAGAUCAGGCCAACGGUCCUGCUCCGCUUUAUACUAAGAGAGUUUGGUUGGGUCUUACUCCGUUAUAGGGCUAGUACGCCGAGCAGCUUCGAAUUCUGCUGUGCCGGUGCACAAAGCAAGCACACAAGGACUGCGUAAAUCUUUGGUCUGUCUAUCAUUGCCCAUGUUGGGCUGACUCCUUUUUUUAGGCAAGAAGACCACUAGUUGAAUUAUUAAACUAUUAAGACUAACUGAAAAAAGGGUACUACUCUUCUUCCUCCACUACUGAUAUUGACUGACCUGUUGAUAGGAUAGCAGGGAAAGUUGAGAGUAUAUCCGGAGAAAGAAAAAAACCUUUUCAGGAUGAGACUACGAACCCUAAUGGAGCCAAUGAGAAAGCAGUUGCAGGUCAGUGUAGGCUUGCUCCGCACAGGUUUCAUCUGGGCCUUAUAUUGAUAUUCUUUUCAAUUCAUUUGGAAAUUUCUUCGGUCCGGGGUACCGCGCAAUCCGUUUAGAUCUAUUUCAGUUGCCAAUGAAAUGGAAUACGGGGGACUCUCCGUGUAAGUGGUUAAUCCGACGAGUCAAUUCUCAAUGCGAUGCAUCCGUGAAAUGGGACGGAGAUCUGCCCGAACUUAGUCCAGUCCUAUUAAAGAUGGGAGCGAAUCAAGCAACUCUUAUAGAUAGAUGGGAUAGGAAGGAAGAACCACUGAUAGCAUUUGCAGCUGCUUCUUUCCGAUCGAUAUACAAGCAGUUGGGCGCGAAGCAUUCUUCGUGAAAAAGCUCGUCCUUGUCAAUAUAGGACUGUCUUUCAUUCUGCUUUUACUUAUUUUUUGGAAAUCUAUCAUUUUCCAAAUUUUUUCAUUGUCUUUAGUACGAUCUGGCUUCACACCUCUCGCCUAUCGGAACACCAACCCAAUCUUGAAAGCUGAAGUGAGUUUGGGGAAUGGAAGAACAAGAACAUCUUCUUUACCACCAAAAAUGGUAACAUAAGACCCUUCUUCACUCAUGCUUGUCAUCUGCUCGUGAAUACCGUCCAGUCAAGUCUUUGUUCUUUUAUUCUUAAAUAUGGGUUCUAACCAGAUUCCCCAUGUUAUAUGCGAGGUCAAUAAAAUUCUCCAGAGAGUGAGUUUCUGAUCAUAAUGACCACCUAAAGUUGGAUUUCCAGUUGUAGUUUUUAGUUUGGGGUGCCAAUAGUAGCAUAGUUGCUUAGUCGUCCUUCCUCUUACGUAUUACAAUAUAGGUGCUUUGAAUGCUGCCUUUAGCAGAAAAUGGACUUAAUGGACAAAUAAGGGAUAGGCAAGAAUCUGUUCUUGAACUCUAGACAACAGGCGGAAAGAGGUUCAUCAGAGUGAUAGGGAAAGCUUAUAGAGGGGGGGUCUUACUACGACAAGUGAAGCCAGGGUUCCCUUUGUUCGGUGUCCGGGGAAGAGAAAGGAAUCUAUUCGGGAAGCGCUUACCAGCCCCUUUACCGAUACCAAGGGGAAGCAGGAAUUAGACCAAUAGGGCACUGCUCUCCGCCUGUCGUAACAACAACAAAAGUCCAUACCGGAAUUUCAUUACCUUAUUCCUUAAACCCUAAAACGGAGACAUUGGUACAACAGGAGGCUCGAGAGACCUCGAGCGUAAUAUACGCUACCCUCGGAGAGACUUUAGCCACAUCUUAACCCGAAUGAGGCGAUCAAGAAAGUCGUGGGCCUCGUAGUACCCGCAUACGACAGCUCUGUGGAGCCUUUCGGGUCGAAAACCUGUUCGACGUUAGAACCGAUCUCAAAACCCUAAUAUCACCGUCUUCAGAGAAAGGACUUUCUCUAUAUCUAUAUCUAUGCAACUAGUUCUUUCACUUUCUUCCAAAUCCAUCCAUCUUACUUACUCAAAAGCUUUGAAUAUUCUACUCGAAAUCUUGCUUCUAGCUUUGGGCACCUCUGACAUAAAUAGAAAUAGCGUAUAUACAAGGCUAGCCCUUUCUCUCAAGCGUCUUGGUAUUGGAUCCGCUCUUCUGUUAACAUGAACAUGAAUUAGAUUCUAUUCUAAUUCUUUAUUCUUAAGAGAAUCCCCCACCCGAACCAUUCUUAAGACCACCAAGCUCUCUCGAAUGAAUUCUACUCUUUCUGCUUUCGAGCUACACCGAGGGCAAAAUCUUUUCCCCACUAAGACGUGCAUCUUUAUGGCUAUAUCGUCCAGAAGACGGAUGCGACGGGAAGAAGUGGCAUUUGGAAGUGUUGCUGACUUAACAUUUAGGUUUCGACAUAACAAAGCUUGCACUGUCUUUUCGCACUUAGGCGCACAGCGUGCCAUUGGUAAUGAUUCUACUACGGUGCCACAAAUUCGCAAGCUGAUCCUAAGUAAUCGUUGUUGUUCAUUGGAUUCCGGAGGAACUACUUCGUUAGGAUUGGGGAAUUGCUGCGAUUCUUCCUGAAUAGCCUGGAUUCUCCCGUCGAGAGUCAGUUUGAAAGUAUUACCUAAACUCUUCCGACUGAAUAUGAUAAAGCCUAUAAAACAUAGAGCUACUAUCAUUUCUUCAUUAUAAAUUGAGAUCUUCUUCGAACUUGAUGCACAAAUAGAUAGAAUAGCAACAAAUAGCAUCUUUCUAGCCUGCAUAUUCGUGGAACUCAAUCUCAUUUAGAAAGCCUGAUCUCUAUCUUUCAGCAACUGAACGGGAAGUGGUUUAAGAAUAAGAAAGGACUUUAGAAUCGGAUGCGCUCGCCCAGCGAGAAAGGCCCUCACCCUGCCAACCAAGUAUCAAAAAGAAAGAAGAGAAAGAAAGGAGAAGAGAACUUCGUAUUUUGGUAACUCUCUAGGAGUCAUCUUUAACCUUGAAUGCUAUUAAUAGAUUCUACAGCAAUAGUCCCUCGGACUCGGAAAGUAAUAACGAAAAUAGCUAACCCAAUAGCAGAUUCCGCAGCUGCCAUUGUUGGAACCAAUGAAGCAAAUGAUUGACCCAUCAUAUCAUCCGAAGAAACAGAAAAUACCAAAAAGUUCGAAUUCACAGCUAAUAACAUUGAUUCAAUUGGCAUUGACAUAAUAGGAAUAUUUCGUCUAUUAAGGAGGAUUCCCCGAAUACCUGAAAUAGAGAUAAUCAUAGAAAAUGUGAAAUAUUUGAUAGGAUCCAUUUCGGGAACGUAGAAUGUAAGAGAAAUUCAAAUGUGAAACAAUAGGUGAGCUCUUCUACUUGAAAUAUCCAUUAACUAUGGAUAUGGAAGAAAUAUUCUUUUUCAUUUUUUUAGUAACAAAAUAAAAGAAAAGUAGGACCAAACUGAGAGUUAGUAGCAUAAAAAAAGAUGGAUUUGUGAAUGAAAAAUAGAAGUUUCCAAUAGGAAAAUCCAUCAAUGGCACAAUCUCAAAUUGUUCAGGUGGGCCACUUAUUUCUAAUUGUGAAAAUGGGCCACUUAUUUCUAAUUGUUCAGGUGGGCUGGAGACGAGAUCUUUCACUUGAUCCACUUGUUCAUGUGGGCCACUUAGAUCUAAUUGUUCAGUUUGGUCACUUAUUUCUAAUUGUUCAGUUUGGUCGGGGUCGUCUGUACGCGCGUCUUUCUUUGGCUUUUUAAAGAUAUCCUCCACCCGUCCCCCUAUACUGUAAUAAUAUUUCAAUGCGCGUAGUAUAUAGUCGCUCUCCCUCUCGUAACGGCCUCGUACAGGGAAACCUCUUUUGGCAGUCUCGAUAACAAUAGGCUCUCCUAAUUUCUCCUCUAUCUUCUCGAUAACUGGGCGAGGUUUAAGGACUGGAAAGCCCUUGGUCCCACAACUCUCAAUAAAAGUCGUGUAGUUAAAAGGUUCGGUCGAUUGAGAAGGACUGGCGGCGAAAUCUUCAUAAAUAGUAGACAGUCUUCCUUUAAAAAUAGAAGAGAAGGGUCUUUUACUUUUAUUGGGCAUUCUUGAUUGAUUGAGACAAAAAUAUUCCCUCAAUACAGCUUCACUCCGUCAAACCUGUACGAGUAGUGAAGAGGUAUAGAUUUAGUUGGUUGUUGACCAACGGAAAGCAUGGGAUCAAAAAAGGAAGAAUUUACGCAAUUUCUUUUCUUUUUUAAAUCUCUUUCUUUUUUUUCCCCAACGACAAAGGAACUUACGGGCGGGGCAUUUUCGGGGGCUAGCCCGCUUCCCACCAUUACUCAAUAGGGCAAUUCCUCGCACAUAAUUAAGGGAGCCAUUGAAAGGUUACUAAAACACCAGAAACGGGGACUACCCGAGCUAAUGAUAGAGGCAAGAACACUUUCCGGCCAAGUCCCAUUAAUUGAUCAUAACGAUAUCGUGAAAAUGCUGCACGGACCCAUAUAUAUAGGAACAGAAAAAGAAUCACCUUGAUACUAAACCAGAUCGAGCCCGGGAUCUUCUUGGAAAUGGGAAGAUCUAGGAUAGGCGGCCAACCUCCUGGAGAGAGCGAUGUGCAUAGACAAGGUGAGUAGGGAUGCAGCUCCGUGGACCGCUCGUCGGGCCUGAUAGGUGGUGGUAUCACACCCUUCUCAAAGGAACCGUACGUGACACUCUCGCGUCAUACGGCUCCGUCCCGGAAGCAGGACCUUCCCUUUCCUUUGACCAACGGGCCCCCAAACCUUUCUUAUUUCGUGCCGAACCGGGUCUCCAUCUUCGAACUUCCCGUUCGAUGAGACCCCACCCCAGGUCUCGCUGUUUCCGUUUUCUAGGUCACGCCUUAACCUCGUUAGAAAGCGGAGUUGGCUAGCUGCCGGCAUAUCUUUUACGUUACCGGCCACAUAGUCCGCAGCGUCUUUCACUGCAUCGCAUUUGCCGGGGCUGAAUCCCCUUUCUUGAGCGAUCGCCUUCGCUCGUUGGCAGAACGCCUUGAUGCGUGCGUCUAGUUUGUUGGGGUGACACUCCGCCUCUUUAUACUCUUAGGAGGCGAGAAACUCCCGUUCCCUUCUCCUUCCUUACUCUUCCGAGGAUGGUUCAGGGGGAGCCGGUUCCGCCUCCGGCUGAGGAGGGAAAUUUCAAUCGAUAGGCGGUAGCUUCGACGAGCUGGGACGUGGAAGUGAAAACCCUAAACUUGAAACCCUACCCUUCUUUGCUACUCACUAUCUAAGGGGCAAAUCCGAAGUCGGUUCUCAAGGCCCGGAAGCUCGGGGAUUGAAUACCCCUAUGUUCCAAGUGACUAGCUUGGCUGGUGAUGCGUUCACCCACUUGCACGCUUCCUUGCAAGCACGAAAUCCUUAGUUCGCCCGCUACCACACGGGCCGGUGUACUCUUAUCGCUAACCCCGAGAGAGGCUAUACUCUAAGAGCCAACCGACUCAUUAUCCCUGGACGCAAGGAUUAAGAAAUAGCGAUGUAUCAGGGGCUGAGCGUACCUUCCGCUCAGGAACAAGAAAUGGAGCUAUUAAGUUAAGGUGCCGCUUUCCUUUUUCUAGCCCUUCUUUGGGUUCCCUAUCGAUGCGUGUAUGCCUUCGUCGAAGAAAGAGGGGAAUCACAAGAAAUUUUCAUACAACUAGGCCUAAUUCCAUCGAUGAAUCAUUCGAGAACGAAUUUUGCGAGACUAAUCUAAUCUUAUUCAACCUUAGAUGGGAAUUAGGGCGAAGCCUGGGGCGGUCUCUGCCUUCUUAACACGCGGCACACCAACUUGAAGUCUGAUUUGAAAAUCUCUCUCUACCUUCACAAAACUUCUCGCGCCCUUCUCGUAGUUUUGACUUGCUCUUAGGUAGGCUACCGUUGACCGGCUUCGCGAGACCAUUUCGGUCUACACACACAUGGGUGGCUAAGCGCUAUUGGGCGGAGCUUUCUCUCAAUCCAAGCUAACUAAUAGAAGAAAAGAGAAGAAAGGAAGAUCUUAUAAGGGACUCACCCCAUCUUUACAUAAGCUAUUUCUUGAACGGAAAAAAUAGAUGCUUUCAUGGACUACUUUGACUUUAGGGAUUUGCUUCAUCAUUAGCUAAAGAAGAGAGACAAGGGGGAAGCUCAGUCUAAUUGUCCGAAGUGAUUCUUUCUUGAUUGGAUGCCAGCUUUCUCUUAAUUCGUGCACUUACAUACAAAUCUAUAGGUAGUUCAUCUCCUUCUAAGAAAAAUAUCCAAAGUUUUCAUUUUUGAUCGAAUUCCGUCUAGUAAGCCUCGAGAUCUUACAGAUGCUGUUGAGAAUCGUCAUUAACCAAUCAUGUAUCGGACGCACCAUCCCUUGAAGUAAGUAAAGGGCGCAAAGAUGCGGAUUUGACCCGCACCCCCUUUCUUUUUCUUUUUUCGAUUUUUCGUUUUAGAAUAGAGAAAGAGUCGAAACUAAGGGUACGCUCUCUAGAAGAUUUGCUCGGAGCUUUUUGGUCGCCUGCUAUCUUAUCUUGAAACCUCUUUGCACAAAAAGAGACUGAGAUGACGAAGUGGAUGCGCCUUGAUUUCCUCCAACUCCUUACUUAAUGCCGCAAUGGAGUCCUCACCCCUGCCUUUAGAAGAGAAAGCCUUCAUACUAUAUUCGACUUGCAUGUGUUAAGCAUAUAACCUUUCAUCACAUUCAGUCGACUUUCAAUUCAAUCUCUGAGGAAGAGAAAGAUAUAGUUUAUAUACAGAAGAAACCUAGUUUUGAGUUCUAUUAAGGACCCGAAGAAGACAGGAGAACUGGGCAUUCACAAGACUGCUUUGAUUCUCAUCAUGAUACAUUCUUGUAGUAAGCGGGUGGUUGAUAAACACGUAUUAUUGGGGGGGGCAGCAGGCAAUGGAUACCGUUCUCGCACCCGAGCCUGCAGUUGGUAGGUCAAAUCCCUCUGUCCAAGUGAUUGAGUUGAAGCUUUGGGCAUAGAGCGGAGCGAGCCCGGGGAGAGGAGUAGAGUCCAGCAACAUUGAGCCCCAAAAUAGAGUUUCUAUUCAAAUCCCUACUCAACACGGUGCCUUAAGGAGAAUCCGAAGCCGGUUGCUAGCGGAAGUAGCGCGACAAAGAGCAAAGCGGAGCAUUCACAAAGAAAUGGUGUAAGCAGAAGGGAAGGCGCAACGGUUAGCGACUGCCCGAGGAGUGAUCCCUCUCUUAUUUUCCCUUUUUUUAAGAUAAGAAAAGAGACAAUAAGCCCGUCAACAUUGAAGCUUCCGCUUUUGGCAGCUGUUAGGCAAGUGAUACCGUACGCCGCAAGUCCGCACCUAUAUAGUGAGGGUGCGUUAAGGCGAGUUGAUGAGCUAAUACGGCUGGCUUACUUUUCAUAUGUAUGUGGAUGUGGAGGGAACCUGGCGUUAAGCACUGGGGCCAGCCACAAAGGAAUAGGUUUGAAUGUUGAUAUAUACCGUCUUUCAGCUGACCUUUCCAAACCAUGCUUCGCAAUCAAGCUAGAAAAAGACUAAGCAAGUGCUGUCCUAAUGAAAUGGCGGAUAGUUUAGUAUAACAUUCAUUCCUGACCGCCGCUGCCUGCUUAAGACUAAAAGCUAGUAGUGAGACUUCUAUUCUUCCGCCCUAUCUAGUAAGAGCCUCUAAAGCUAUGUUUGGCGUAAUCAAUAUAAUAGUUGGGCUCGGCUUUACUGAAGAAGAAGGGGCGAAGUCUCAACUACCAGACUACUACUAUACCAAACGCACUCCACGAGUGGAUUAGUUGAGUGACUAGACUGAUACUCUAAACGAGACCAAUACUAUCAAAAAGAAAGUAGCAAAAAUCAUAAGAGAAGAAAAGCAAGUCAAGCAGUAUGCCUGGUUCACCAGGUUCUACCACUGCAGGGCCCAAUCAUAGUCAAAAGCGGAAAAGAGAGGAUUUGCAAGAAAAAGUCGAAUAGACUGACCUACGAGCAUAAGAAAGAAGAGGAAAUCGAAUUAUGUAUGAUGAGCUUGAGUCGAGUCACAAAAAGGGCUAUGAUGAGCUUGAGUCGAGUCACAAAAAAGGGUAUGAUGAGCUUGAGUCGAUUAUUUCCAAGAUCGAAUUCCAGUUUUUUCUUAUGUAGUGGAAACGCCCUACAAUCUGAAGUUUUACGCUUCAGGCAAGAAAUGUUCUUGGUGGAUGCAGGACUUGGGACCCCCAGAAUUUGUAUGCAAGAUGAGCUUACAGGGGUGCCAAUCAACCGAGCCACCAGGUUUGAGAAUAGGGUGGGAUUCCUGGAUCUAGUGGCCGGUGAAUCACUGAUCAAAGAGCAGAUUUUGGAGAGAUUCUUCAUCGAUCUAGUGGCCGGUGAAUCACUGAUCAAAGAGCGAGCAGCCGCCAGGUUUAAUGAUUUGGUGGGAUCUACAGAUGUAGUGGCUGGUGAACCGCUUCUUCUUCUUCCACGAAGAUUCAGACAAAACCGAGCUUGGAUGGAACUGAACAAGAUUGAGCGAACGAAGGCAAAGAUCAAAGGCUUUAUUAUUGAGAAAGUAAAAGGAGGUUAUUCAGUAGCCAUCGCAGGUUUCAUUACUUUUCUUCCAUUCCGCCGCAGAAGGAAAAGGAUAUUGAAUAAUCAAUUCACCGUUGAAAACAUUAACCCCAAAAAGAAGAAUAUUGUGGUCUUCUAACAAAAAAAGAAGAAUAUUCUGGUCUUUGAAGGAAUGAAAAAAAGGAGAGACUGGUAGAGCUCCUCUUUGUCAGCGGCAGCAUUAUCCCUUCUAUCUAUCAACCAUUUCAUUAUGGAACUUUCUCCCCACAACAAUCAUUUUGAAAAUAAUGUGCAAUUCAUAGCCCUCGAUGAUCGGGCAAAUGUUAUGGAAAAUUUCUGUGAUCAAGUAUCUAGAAACAUGGAUGCAACUGGUCUUCAGUUGCCACCAGCAUGGACGUCGGUAAGAGAGCUUGCCGAGCAUGUCUGGCAUGUUAAUGAUGAAGAACUUGUGACUAUUCCUUAUGUCAUCCAUCUCACAAAUGAACUGGCCCGUGAGGACUUUCAAAGUGGGUGUGUAUGGCAGGAAUUUGUUGAUGAGUUGGAAUUGAUUGUCCACAGUCCCACCUGAACAAUUUGAGAUUGUGCCAUUGAUGGAUUUUCCUAUUGGAAACUUCUAUUUUUCAUUCACAAAUCCAUCUUUUUUUAUGCUACUAACUCUCAGUUUGGUCCUACUUUUCUUUUAUUUUGUUACUAAAAAAAUGAAAAAGAAUAAAGAAAAUGGCAUGGGUUUGGGAGCCAAGCCGAAGCCUCCACCGCAGCUUCAACUGCAAAAAAAAUAAUUCGAAAGACCCCGAUCCUUAUUUUCGUUUUUUCUUUACUCUUUCUCAUUAUCACAGUAGUUUUGAUAAGAAGAAGAAGAAAAAAAAGUCUGAUUCUAUUUUACAUUAUGUGUUUCCUCCUUUCCCUUUUUAGUUGCCUUUUGAGAUUCUUCAUUAUGGACUUUUUUUGGCUUUUCUAGCACUCCCCACAGCCUUUAUCUUAUUUGUAUCGUCGAAUGAAAGUGAUAAUUCGACUAGAGAAUCAGGAAGUCUUCCCCGCCUGGAAUCUGAAUCGAGUUCGGAAUCACUCUAAACUUUUAGAAACGUUAUUGGCGCGGAGAAUGAGGCGGAAAUAUAUCGGCGUAUAAGACUCUUGGAGAAUGGUACGUACUAUAAUCUACCGCCUCAGAACACUCCGGGAGACUAUGCUGCCCUUGUUCGCGAAAAUGCGCCACAUUUAUCUAUCUUUAUCGCCGAAUUGAAAUUUUCUUUCUUUGAUCAAGAGUAUUUCGAACUUCAAGUAUUAGAGAGAAAGGGCCUUGUCCAAGACAAACUCCUUAACUUAAUGCUUGAAGAAGAGAAUCUUUCCUCUAUUAUUAUAUUAAUGAAUCCCCUUACUCAAACAUAAGAAAGGAGGCUUAUCACUUUCUUGAAGACAAGCUUCAGCCUGUUGGCGAUCCACGCCAUGCUUUUGAGCGAAAUCUUCUUGAGGGGAGUCUUCGCUUUUUUUUUACAGGAUUUGGAUCAACGGGGUAAAGAUUCCAGUGUUUACCAAGAUUUUUUGAAUUAUUUUCUCAAUUCUGAUUGAUUGCCUUUUUUGAUCCCAUGCUUUCCGUCGGUCAACAACCAACUAAAUCUAUACCUCUUCACUACUCGUACAGGCUUGACGGAGUGAAGCUGUAUUGAGGGAAUCUUUUUGUCUCAAUCAAUCAAGAAUGCCUCAACUGGAUAAAUUCACUUAUUUCACACAAUUCUUCUGGUCAUGCCUUUUCCUCUUUACUUUCUAUAUUCCUAUAUGCAAUGAUGGAGAUGGAGUACUUGGGAUCAGCAGAAUUCUAAAACUACGGAACCAACUGGUUUCACACCGGGAGAACAAGAUCCGGAGCAACGACCCCAACAGUUUGGAAGAUAUCUUGAGAAAAGGUUUUAGCACCGGUGUAUCCUAUAUGUACUCAAGUUUAUUCGAAGUAUCCCAAUGGUGUAACGCCGUCGACUUCUUGGGAAAAAGGAGGAAGAUGACUUUAAUCUCUUGUUUCGGAGAAAUAAGUGGCUCACGAGGAAUGGAAAGAAACAUAUUCUAUUUGAUCUCUAAGUCUGUACAUAGCAAUCCUGGGUGGGUCAUCACUUGUAGGAAUGACAUAAUGCUAAUCCAUGUUCCACACGGCCAAGGAAGCAUCGGUUUUUAAUCUCAUUAUGACUUGGUUGUUCGGAAGAGCAAUUAAUUCGAUCAGAAUAGUGGAAUGGAAGGCAGUAAAAGAAUGAAAUACUCCUUUCUUUUCCAAUCGCCCCGCGAAGACAGACGCUCGGAAAGGUUCUCGAGAUUCUCAAUCGCUCUUUUUAGUGGGGAGGAAUAGUGCGGGAAGGGGGCGAGACCAAGCCGAGCCACUAGUAGAGUAAGCCCUUCCCACGUGUCAAGUUGAAUAUAAAUAAAUGAAUGCAGCCUCAACCAGAGAGAUCAACCUGCGCCUUUGAGUUGAGGCCGCUGGCGGCGCAGAACGAACUAAUCCGCGACCAGCAAGUUUUCCGAAAGCGAACUGAAUGGAAUUGUUACUUUCCAAAAAUCUUGCUUCAAAGAAAUAAGGUCUAUUUUCCCACGUAGUUCGUCGGUCAAACCAACGAUUCUCUUCUCAAAGUAAUAGAGAGAGUCUUUUUCUAGUUAGACUUCUAUCAAUGGAAUGAAAGAACCAUCCCUUCCUAUUUCUUUGUUUGUCCUGUCAGAUAGAAAGAAAAUUAGACCCCAAAGAGCCCUUCUUUACUUUACUACUUUAGGGGGUGGGGGUGAAGGGGGGGUUUACAUAGAACCGAGGCAAAGUGGUUUAUGAUUGAAUCUCAGAGGCAUUCUUAUCAUUUGGUAGAUCCAAGUCCAUGGCCUAUUUCGGGUUCACUCGGAGCUUUGGCAACAACCGUAGGAGGUGUGAUGUACAUGCACUCAUUUCAAGGGGGUGCAACACUUCUCAGUUUGGGCCUCAUAUUUCUCCUAUAUACCAUGUUCGUAUGGUGGCGCGAUGUUCUACGUGAAUCCACGUUCGAAGGACAUCAUACCAAAGUCGUACAAUUAGGACCUCGAUAUGGUUUUAUUCUGUUUAUCGUAUCGGAGGUUAUGUUCUUUUUUGCUCUUUUUCGGGCUUCUUCUCAUUCUUCUUUGGCACCUACGGUAGAGAUCGGAGGUAUUUGGCCCCCAAAAGGGAUUGCGGUUUUAGAUCCUUGGGAAAUCCCUUUUCUUAAUACCCUUAUUCCCCUUUCAUCCGGAGCUGCCGUAACUUGGGCUCAUCAUGCUAUACUCGCGGGGAAGGAAAAACGAGCAGUUUACGCUUUAGUAGCUACCGUUUCACUGGCUCUAGUAUUCACAGGCUUUCAAGGAAUGGAAUAUUAUCAAGCACCCUUCACUAUUUCGGAUAGUAUUUAUGGUUCUACCUUUUUCUUAGCAACUGGCUUUCAUGGUUUUCAUGUGAUUAUAGGUACUAUUUUCUCGAUCAUAUGUGGUAUUCGCCAAUAUCUUGGUCAUCUGACCAAGGAGCAUCACGUUGGCUUUGAAGCAGCUGCAUGGUACUGGCAUUUUGUAGACGUGGUUCGGUUAUUCCUAUUUGUCUCUAUCUAUUGGUGGGGAGGUAUAUGAAGGAAGGAAUCAGUGGAUUGAGGAAUGAAAGCUCGAAGACAAAGAGAACCGGGCUUUUCCAAAGAAUUACUGCAGCUUUCCCACUCCCUUUGAUUAUCAUAUACAAAAAGGUCUCUUCCACUUUCCUACCAAAUCUCUCUCUAUUCUGGCACAUAAAUGAAGGGAUCGAAGAGAUUAUGGCAGAUCAUGUUCACCAAGAAAUGACCCGAAAUUGGAUCUUGGUCUAUUUGAGAUUGUUCCUUUUAAUCGUAAUCAAAGAUGUUUUCUUGUCUCUCGUUUCUUUUCUGAAAAAAAAAAAGAACCUAAUGGAUCGAACUCAUAUGCUGUACCUGGUCGUUUAAAUCAGAUCUCUAUUUCGGUACAACGAGAAGGGGUUUACUAUGGUCAGUGCAGUGAGGGUACUUGUAAAUCACUAGGUAGCCAUACAACACUCGUCCCAAGUUUGACUUAGCCCAAGCAAUGCCCAAAGACUCCCAUUUCUUUCUUUCUUGGUCAACAACCAAGCACAUUUCCAACAAGUCUCUCUUCUUUUUUUUUUUUGGGGGGGGGGGCAGACAAAUAAAAUGGAAUCUUACUAUUUAUGAAAAACAAUUCAUUUCUACUCACCCCCAGCGAUCUUCACUUUAUGCAAAGUUCCACUUCUUCCUUCCCUUCCAUUAGAUAAUCAAGCUCAGUUUCCAUCUUCUUUUUCUUAAAGAAUAGGAGCGAGACUUUCAUAGUGAAGGGAGAGGCGAAGCCUAGUAACACAGCAUCAUGGUUUAGCCUAGCCCUGACAAGCAGUUCACCGCUUUCACAUGGCAGAACCCAUCACAGCACAGGGAGUCUGGCGCCCCUAUACACUCAUAUCUCGACUUGACAACCAAAAUUGCGGAAAAUGGAAAUUUAUAGAUCGAUGGCGGGGAUGAGCCCAUGUGUACGCCUAACCUUCGGCCACCCCUCAAUGGCACUAAUAAGCACACAAGACACAUAGGUAUAGGGAUGCCUGUUUUACUAGGCGCGAUAGAAUACUCAACCAAGCAUUCAGCUCGAUGGAUUACUCCCGCACCAGAUAGUUCUCAGCCGCAAGGUUGCCGGCAUGCCCCAAUGAGAAGGUACUCUCAAAUCGAAUAUCUCGUGGCACCACAUCUUUAGACAAAGGGCAGGUUUAGCUAUAGCCCAGUCAACUGUUGGAGGCAAAGACAAAGAAAAAACGGAAAAGCCGAGCACACUGCAUCUCCAGUGAACCAUCCUACUAAGGUUUCACGAAGUCAACACAUACGUUCACAGCUAGGGACCAUGUUCAGUCCAUGCCAAUAAAAAACAACAGGAGCUCGCGGUCUAUCAGCACUUGAAGGGCUACACAAUGGAGAUCGGAUCGGCCUCGUAUGGAGCGCUUUUUGGCUCCCCGAAGACCUUCCACGUGACCGGCAAGCUCUUAUUCCAAUUUCUAUAGGACCUAGCUACAACUCUUUAUCUGUUGUCCGUUCCUCUCGCUCAAACAAGGUUUCACGGAGUCGAGUUCAAGUAGCAUCUUUAUAUGUAUCGGAUCAUUUGUGGAUUGAAACUCUCUUUUCUUUCAGCUUUCCCUUUCCAUUGGACCAGGUCAAGGCUGCUGUAAGCAGUUCUGAUCUCAAGCACCUAUCACGGUUUUCGAGUAGCUCUGAUCCACCGGAGCAGUUACAAUUGCUUCAGCUGGAGCUGCGACAAUUGCUUCAGCUGGAGCUGCGACAAUUGCUUUACUUUAGCGGGCGACAAGCGUAGCUGUUCUGAAGUUAUAGUUAGAAAGAGGGGUUGGUAAUCUAAUCCCUCUUAGUGGUCUUAUAGUAGAGUGAGUGAUCCUCGGGUAGUCAUCUAUGAGUUGAAGCAGGAACAAAGAAUCAAUAUAAGGUGAAAGAACCUUCUUUCAUUUGAAUUUCCUGUUUAACUAGUCAGCCUCUAACUUAACUCUUGAAUCUGCGGGCUUGGAAACCUACUUUCUGAAGCGGGCCCUACCACGUAUACAGUCUGCGGAACCACGCCUAGCUGCGGUGUCAAGCUCAUAUCCUCUGCCUCUUUCUUGAAAAGAAACUAUGCCUGAUAAGGCGAAUAAAGACUCAUCUUCUUUCAUAUCAUAUGUGUCAGAAGCAUCAAAUGAUGUUUUAUGAGGUGGGGGAAUCCUAAUCCAAUGCCCUAAGCUCGCGGUGACAGAAUGCUGUUAUGUCCCUGGAGAGUGCUCCCCCAGGAGUUAUGUGCCCGGAGUUCUGUCCCUAGCCCUUUCACCUUCCACGGAACCAGAAGCAUGAAAGAUGGGAUCUAGCAUUUUCGAAGAAAGUCUUUCUCUUUAUUGAUGUCGAACUUCAUCUGCCUUAUAGCGAUGAAAAGAUAUUCCCUUAGUCUUUGCCCAGCUCUUCUUCCAGGGAAACAGUCUUUGAUAGCGCUCUUGCCCGACUUUUCGUGAUUUGUGGCCUUAAGAGAAUCAGGAGAUAUUAAAUAGUUUGGGUCGAGCAUCUAAUCUUAUUAAGAGUUGUCCUUUCAGACCCUAUUCUCCGAAUGGACAAAGAGCAGGAAGUAAAGCACCCGCCUCUAGGAGGGAAGGGGUUAGAGUGUGCCUGAUUCAUAUGCAGUUUCCUCUCUGAAAGAUGCCCAAUCAAGAAGGAUGUGCCACCAUGCCCGAUGGGCAAGAAGCUAGGGCAGUUAAGGAGGGUUAUAUUGGGUGAUCGUAUCCGAACUUGAAAGACUUUCCGCGGAAUCAGAAUCAGAUUGGAUUGAAGGUAAGGACGGCGAAGCUGGAAUUCUAUGGUUUCGAUUCUUCCUAAGUGAUUAGGUCACUCCUCUUCUCUCCGAUUGGGGAAGUCUCCAAUUCCCUUACUUCGAUUUCCAAUGACUCAGUAUAAUGCUCAUUUGACUGUCGCGUAGGUAAAGUGUUUACUGGUCCGCCGGGUGAGACCUCUUGUACUCCUUCUUUCGCUGAUUAAGAGCCGGAUGAGAAUCCUCUCAAAUCCUCGAAUGAGAACUUCCCUUAAGGAAGGAAUGAAUCUAGGGAAGAAGUCGCAAGGAUAGUUCCAUUUCUCCGCUAGCCGGGGACAUGACUUCCAGCUGAUAAACCUGCUCUUGCUCCAUUCGCUGAAUCUGGAGAUUUAUACUUGUUAGAAACUGUAUUCUUACUCUUCUUUGUAUUUCCGGGGGUCUUUCGCAAACUAAGGCAAAUAAAGAGUCUUAUUCUCCCUUUCAGUCAGCCGGAAGUAAGAAGAUUGCUGCUCUAGCCCUAGCUGCUCUACGCGGAUACGAUCUUUCCUUACUGAACAGCUUCCCCAGAUCAUGUUACAAUUAGAGUUGCGGAGAUAGAGAAGGCUCAUUCUCCUUUAAUAGCAAAGGCCUUUUCACGAGCUGGGCUCGAACCUGCGCUUCCCUGUCUAGGAGUGCAUUCCGGAAAUAUAGUUGGAGAUGAGUCUGUCGACCAGUGCUUGAACUAAAAUUGUUUCAAAAGAGAAAGGGAAUGAGUCUGAAAAGACAGGUCGAGAAGGGUUGCGAGCUCAAACGAAUAGAGUUCAAGCCGAAAGUGUUUCAAAAUAGAAAGAGAAAGGCUGGAACGAAGUAGCUCGCCUAAAAGGAGGGGAACGAAGCACUCGGCUGAGAUUGUUGGAAAAGAGAGGCAGGGCCCGAGGCACUUGCUAACGAGCAGGCGGGACAAGACUGACUUGAAAAGACGCUCUACUUGAAAGGCAAUGGCUUUGAGGGUACUAACUGUGAUAUAUGGGUAAGGAAAAAAAGAGUAGCUCAGGCUCUCGAGGCAUACUAGCGGGGCUUGACUAGAAUCGUAGAAAGAAGCUGGGGAGAAAGAUCCAAGUGCAAGCAUUGAGUCAAACUGAUUCAGGUAUAGCAAGAUAGUUCUUGUCUCCUUCUUCUACCUACUUUCCUUUAUAGCACUUCUAGCCUUGAAAAGAUAAUCUUUCUUAGUUGUCCACUACCUCACUCUUUUUUUUCCUAUCUCAAGGGAGUUCAGUUCCCCGAGGAUGAACAAGCAAGACUACAAGGCUACUUCCCCGCCUAUAAAAGUCGCAUCAUAGUAAUGCUUGCCGCAGCAUAAGAUGCCUAUCGNNNNNNNNNNNNNNNNNNNNNNNNNNNNNNNNNNNNNNNNNNNNNNNNNNNNNNNNNNNNNNNNNNNNNNNNNNNNNNNNNNNNNNNNNNNNNNNNNNNNUUGCCGAUCGUGUGUGCUGCCCAAGGGCGGUGAUGUCAUGCCCACGCCCGACGUCAUUCGACCGUGUGUGCUGUCUUAGGGAGGUGAUGUCAUGCCAUGCCUGACGUCGUACUGACUGUGUGUGUUUGUCCAAGGGCUAUGAUGGCAUGCCACGGCUGACGGCGUCCGAUCGUGCGUGCAGUUCAAGGGUGGUGAUGGCAUGUCACACCGGAUGUCAUUCGACCGUGAUGUUUGUCCAAGGGCGGUGAUGUCAUUCCACGCUCGACGUUGCCGAUAGUGUGUGCUAUACAAGGGCAGUGAUGUAAUUGCCACGCCCGACGUUGCCGACCGUGUGUGCCUGUCCAAGGUCGGUGAUGUCAUGCCCGCCCAACAUCGUUCGAUCGUGCGUGCAGUCCUAGGCGGUGAUGUCAAGCCACGCCCGACGUUGUUUGAUCGUGGGUGCUUUCCAAGGGUGGUUGCAUGUCAUGCCUACGCCCGACGUCAUUCGACCGUGUGUGUUGCCAAAGGCAUGAUUGGCAUGCCACGCCCGACAUCGUUCAACCAUAUGUGCUGUCCAAAGGCGUUGAUGUCAUGCCAUGCCCGACGUCGUCUAAACCUUGUGUGCCGUCCAAGGGCGGUGAUGUCAUGCAACGCCCAACGUCGUUCGACCGUGUGUGCUGUCAAAGGGUGGUGAAAGUCAUUCCAGCCCGCCGUGUUCAGACCGUGCAUUGCAGUUCUAGGGCGGUGAUGUCAUGCCACGUAAUGUCGUUCGACCGUUUGGCUGCUCAAAAGCGAUCAUGGUAUGCCACGCUCGACGUCGUUCGACCGGGUGUGCUGCCCAAAGGCGAUGAUGGCUGCCGAUCCUGACGUCGUUCGAUCGUGUGUGCUACCCAAAGGCGAUGAUGCAUGUCACACCCGACGUCGUUCGACUAUUUUUGCUGUCCAAAUGCGGUGAUGGCAUGUCACGCCUGACGUCGUAUCGACCGUGUUUGCCGUCCAAGGGCUAUAUGAUGGCAUGCCACGCUCGACGUUGUUCGACCGUGUGUGCUUCCAAAGGCGAUGAUUCGCAUGCCACGCCCGACAUCGUUCGAUCAUUUCUGCUGUCUAAAUGGGUUGAUGUCAUGCCACACCCGACGUUGCCGACCAUGCGUGCUGGCCAAGGGCAGUGAUGUCAUGCCACGCCCGACAUUGUUCGACCGUGUCUGCUUUCCAAGGGAGGUGAUGUCAUGCCACGCUCGACGUCAUCUGACCGUGUGUGCUGUCCAAGGAAGGUGAUGUCAUGCCACGCCCGAUGUUGCCGACCGUGUGUGUGCUUUCAAAGGGCGGUGUGUUAUGCCAUGGCCCGACGUCGUCCGACUGUGCGUGCCGUGCAAGGGCGGUGAUGUCAUGCCACGCCAACGUCGUCUGACCGUGUGUGCUGUCCAAGGGCUGUGAGUCAUGAUACGCCCGACGUCGUCCGAUCGUGCGUGCAGUCCGAGGGCUGUGAUGGCAUGGGAACGCCCGUCGUUAUCCGACGUGUGUGCUAUUUUAAGGGCGGUGAUGUCAUGCCACCACCGACAUUGUCCGACCAUGUAUGCAGUCCUAGGAAGGUGAUGUCAUGCCAUGCCCGACAUCGUUUGACAGUUUGUGCUGUCCAAAAAGGCGAUAAUGACAUGUUACGCCCGACGUUGUUCGACCGGGUGUGCUUACCAAAGGCGAAUGAUGGCAUGUAACGCCGACGUCGUUCGACCGUGUGUGCUGUACAAAGGAGAUGAUGGCAUGUCACGCCCGACGUCGUCCGACCGUGUGUGGUGUCCAAGGGAGGUGAUGUCAUGCCACGCCCGACGUUUCCGACCGUGUGUGCUUUCCAAGGGCGGUGAUGUUAUGCCACGCCGACGUUGCCGACCGUGUGUGCUGUCAAGGUCGGUGAUGUUAUGCCAUGCCCGACGUCGUCCGACCAUUCAUGCAGUCCUAGGGCUGUGAUGUCAUGCCACGCCCAACGUUCGUUCAAUGGUGUUUGCUGUCCAAGGGCUAUGAUGUCAUGCCAUGCCCGAUGUCAUUUCGACCGUGUGUGUUGCCCAAAGGCGAUGAUGGCAUGCUACGCCUUACGUUGGUUUAACGGAUGUGUGUUGUCAAAAGGCAAUGAUGUCAUGCCAUGCCCGACGUCGUCCGAUCGUGCAUGCAACGGGGUCAGGGAUGUCAUGCCACCCCCGAUGUAAUUGGACUGGUUGUGUGUAGUGUAAAAGGGUGGUGAAUUCAUGCCACGCCCCACGUCGUGCAACCGUGCAUAGAGUCCUAUGGCGAUUGAUGUCAUGCCACGCCCGACGUCGUCUCGACCGUGUUGUGCUGACCAAAACGGUGAUGUCAUGCAACGCCCGACGUCAAUGAUCUUGUGUGAUGUCCAAGGGAAGUGAUGGCAUGCCACGCUCGUUCGUACGAUCGUGUGUGCGGCCCCAAACGCGAUGAUGGCAUGCCUCGCCCGAUGUCGUUCGACUAUGUGUGCUGUCCAAAGGGAGGUGAUGGUAUGCCACGCUUGACAUCGUUCAACCAUGUGUGCUGUCGAAAGGCGGUGAUCUCAUGUCACGCACGACGUCGUCUGACCGUGCGUGCCAUCCAAGGGCGGCGAUGUCAUGCAACGCCUAACGUCGUUCGACCGUGGGUGCUGUCAAGGGCGGUGAUGUCAUGCCACUCCCGACGUCGUCUGACAGUGUGUGCAGUAAAAGGAAAAUGAUGUCAUGCCUUACCCAACGUCGUUCGAUAGUGUGUGCUGUCCAAGGGCGUGAUGGCAUACCACGCCCGACAUUGUUUGACUGUGCGUGCAGUCCAAGGGUGGUGAUGUCAAUCCACGCCGACUUCGUUCGAUCGUGUGUGCUGCCCAUAGUCUUUAAUGGCAUGCCACGCCCGACGUUGUUCGACUGUGUGUGCUAACUAAAGGCGAUGAUUUGCCACCGCCGACGUCGUUCGACCGUGUAUGCUGCCCAAAGGCGAUGAUGGCAUGUCACACCUGACGUUUUUCGACUAUGUUUUUUCGUCCAAGGGUAAUGAUUGCAUGCCACGCCUGACGCCGUCCGACUGUGUGAGCUAGUCCAUAGGCGAUGAUGGGAUGCCACGCCCGAUGUCGUUUGACCAUGUGUGCAGCCCAAAGGCGAUGAUGGCAUGCCACACCCGACGUAGUCCGACCGUGUGUACUGCCUAAGGGAGGUGAUGUCAUGCCAAGCCCGACGUCGUUCGACUGUGUGUGCUAUCGUGGGCCGAUGAUGUCAUGCCACGCCCGAUGUUACCGACCGUGUGUGCUUUCAAAGGCAGUGAUGUCAUGCCACGCCCGAUGUUGCCGACCGUGUGUGCCUGUCCAAGGAAGGUGAUGUCAUGCCAUGCCUCACGUCGUUCGACCGUGUGUGCUGUCCAAGGGAAGUGAUGUGAUGUCACGCACGACUCGUCUUACCAUGCGUGCAGUCCAAGGGCGUGAUGUCAUGCCACGCCCGACGUCGUCCGACUGUAUGUGCUGUCCUAGGGCGGUGAUGGCAUGCCACGCCCGACGUCAUCCGACCGUGUGUGCUUUCCAAAGGCGGUGACGUCAUGCCACGCCCGACGUAGUCUUACCGUGGUGCUGCCUAAGGGAGUGAUGUCAUGCCACGCCCGACGUCGUCGACCGUGUGUGCUGCCCAAAGGCGAUGAUGGCAUGCAACGCCCGACAUCGUUCGACCAUGUGUGCUUCCCAAAGGCGAUGACGCCAUGCCACGCCCGACGUAGUUCAACCGCGUGUGUUGUCCAUAGGGCGGUGAUGUCAUGUCACGCCCGACGUUGUCCGAUAGUGUGUGCUGUCCAAAUGAGGUUGAUGUCAUGCCACGUCCGACAUCGUUCGACCAUGCGUGCAGUCUAAGGGCGGUGAUGUCAUGCCACGCCGACGUCGUUCGGCCAUUUAUGCUUCCCAAAGGCGAUGAUGGCAUGCCACGCCCGACGUUUUUCGACCGUGUGUGCUGUCCAUAGGCGGUGAUGUCAUGCCACGCCUGACAUCAUCCAACAGUGUGUGCUUUCCAAGGGCGGUGAUGUUAUGCCACGCCCGACGUCGUUCGACCGUUUAGCUUCCCAAAAGCGAUGAUGGCCUGCCAUGCCCAAUGUCGUCGACCGUGUGUGCUGCCUAUAGGGGAUGAUGGCAUGCCACGCCCGACGUCGUUCAAUCGUGUGUGCUAAUCAAAGGCGGUGAUGUCUUGCCACCCCGAGCUCAUUCGACCGUGUGUGUGCUGCCGAAAGGCGAUGAUGGCAUGUCAUGCCCGACGUCGUUCAACAGUGUGUGCUGUCCAAAGGCGGUGAUGGCAUGCCACGCCCGACGUCGUCAACCGUGGGUGCUGUCCAAGGCCAGUGAUGUCAUGCCAUGCCCAACGUCGUCCGACCGUGCGUGCCCUCCAAGUGCGGUGAUGUCAUGCCACGCUUGACGUCGUUCGAUCGUGGGUGUUGUGCAAGGGCAGUGAUGUCAUGCUACACCCUACGUCGUCUGACCGUACAUGCAGUCCAAGGUCAAUGAUGUCAUGCCACGCCCGACGUAGUCUUACCAUGUGUGCUGUCCAAGGGAGGUGAUAUCAUGCCACGCGCGACGUCUUUCGACCGCGUGUGCUGUCCAAAGGCAGUGAUGGCAUGCCACGCCCGAUGUAGUCUGACCACGUGUGCUACCCUAGGGAGGUGAUGUCAUGCUACGCCUGACGUCGUUCAACCGUGUGUGCUGUCAAAGGCGGUGAUGUUAUGCCAUGCCCGACGUCGUCCGACCGUGCGUGCCUUCCAAGGGCGGUGAUGUUAUGCCACGCACGAUGUCGUUUGACCGUGGGUGCUAUCCAAGGCCGGUGAUGUCAUGCUACGCCCGACGUCGUCCGACCGUGCGUGCCGUCCAAGGGCGGUGAUGUCAUGCCACGCCCGACGUCGUUCGACCGUGGGUGCUGUCCAAGGGCGGUGAUGUCAUGCCACGCCCGACGUUGUCGACAGUGUGUGUUGUUCAAGGGCGUUGAUGGGAUGCCACCCCCGACAUCGUUCGACUGUUCUUGCAGUCAAAGGCGAUGAUGUCAUGCCACGCCCGACGUCGUUCGAUCGUUUAGCUUCCCAAAGGCAAUGAUGGCAUGCAUGCCCGACGUCGUUCGACCGUGUGUGCUGCCCAUAGGCGAUGAUGGCAUGCCACGCCCGACGUCGUCCGACAGUUUGUGUUGUCGAAGGGCAUUGAUGGCAUGCCACGCCCGACAAUCAUUCGACCGUGCUUGCAGUCCAAUGGCGGUGAUGUCAUGCCACGCCCGACGUCGUUUGAUUGUUUAGCUUCCCAAAGGCGAUGAUGGUAUGACAUGCCCGACGUCGUUCGAUCGUGUGUGCUGUCCAAAGGUGGUGAUGUCAUGCCACGCCCGACGUCGUCCGACUGUGCGUUCAGUCUUAGGGCGGUGAUGUCAUGCCACGCCUGACGUUGUUCGACCUUGUGUGCUGUCCAAGGGCGGUGAUGUCAUGCCACACCCGAUGUCAUUCGACCAUGCGUGCUGCCCAAGGGCGAUGAUGGCAUGCCACGCACGACAUCAUUCAACCGUGUGUACUGUCCAAAUGCGGUGAUAUCAUGCCAUGCCCGACAUCGUCCGACCUUCUAUGCCGUCCAAGUGCGAUGAUGUCAUGCCACACCCGACGUCAUUCAAUCGUGUGUGCUCUCCAAGGGAGGUAAUGUCAUGCCACGCCCGACGUCAUCCGACCGUGCAUGUAGUUCUAGGCUGGUGAUGUCAUGCCACGACCGACGUCGUUCGACCGUUUGUGCUGCCCAAAGGCGAUGAUGGCAUGCCACGCCCGACGUCGUUCAACCGUGUGUGCUGUCCAAAGGUGGUGAUGUCAUGCCACGCCUGACGUUGCCGACUGUGUGUGCUGCCCAAGGGCGAUGAUGUCAUGCCGUGCCCGACGUCGUUCGACCGCGUGUGCAGUCCAAGGGGGGUGAUGUCUUGCCACGCCCAACAUCGUUCGACCGUGUGUGUUGUCCUAGGGAGGUGAUGUCAAGCCACGCUCGACGUCAUUCGACCGUGUGUGUUGUCCAAGGGUGGUGAUGUCAUGCCAUACCCGAUAUUGCCGACAGUGUUUCCUUUCCAAGGGCGGUGAUGUCAUGCCACGCUCGAUGUCGUCCGACCGUGCUUGCCAUCCAAGGGCGGUGAUGUCAUUCCACGCUCGACGUCAUCUGACCGUGUGUGCUAUCCAAGGGUUGUGAUGUCAUGCCACGCCCGACAUCGUCUGACCGUGUGUGCUGUCCAAGGGCUGUGAUGCCAUGCCACAUCCGACGUCGUUCGAUCGUGGGUGCAGUCAAAGGGUAAUGAUGGCAUGGAACGCCUGGCAUCGUCCGACCGUGUGUGCUGUCCAAGGGCGGUGAUGUCAUGCCACGGACGACGUUGCCGACCGUGUGUGCUGUCCAAAGGCGGUGAUGGCAUGCCACGCCCGACGUCGUUCAACCGUGGGUGCUGUCCAAGGCCAGUGAUGUCAUGCCAUGCCCAACGUCGUCCGACCGUGCGUGCCCUCCAAGUGCGGUGAUGUCAUGCCACGCUUGACGUCGUUCGAUCGUGGGUGUUGUGCAAGGGCAGUGAUGUCAUGCUACACCCUACGUCGUCUGACCGUGCAUGCAGUCCAAGGUCAAUGAUGUCAUGCCACGCCCGACGUAGUCUUACCAUGUGUGAUGUCCAAGGGAGGUGAUAUCAUGCCACGCGCGACGUCUUUCGACCGCGUGUGCUGUCCAAAGGCAGUGAUGGCAUGCCACGCCCGAUGUAGUCUGACCACGUGUGCUACCCUAGGGAGGUGAUGUCAUGCUACGCCUGACGUCGUUCAACCGUGUGUGCUGUCCAAAGGCGGUGAUGUUAUGCCAUGCCCGACGUCGUCCGACCGUGCGUGCCUUCCAAGGGCGGUGAUAUUAUGCCACGCACGAUGUCGUUUGACCGUGGGUGCUAUCCAAGGCCGGUGAUGUCAUGCUACGCCCGACGUCGUCCGACCGUGCGUGCCGUCCAAGGGCGGUGAUGUCAUGCCACGCCCGACGUCGUUCGAUCGUGGGUGCUGUCCAAGGGCGGUGAUGUCAUGCCACGCCCGACGUUGUCCGACAGUGUGUGUUGUUCAAGGGCGUUGAUGGGAUGCCACCCCCGACAUCGUUCGACUGUUCUUGCAGUCAAAGGGCGGUGAUGUCAUGCCACGCCCGACGUCGUUCGAUCGUUUAGCUUCCCACAGGCAAUGAUGGCAUGCAUGCCCGACGUCGUUCGACCGUGUGUGCUGCCCAUAGGCGAUGAUGGCAUGCCACGCCCGACGUCGUCCGACAGUGUGUGUUGUCGAAGGGCAUUGAUGGCAUGCCACGCCCGACAAUCAUUCGACCGUGCUUGCAGUCCAAUGGCGGUGAUGUCAUGCCACGCCCGACGUCGUUCGAUUGUUUAGCUUCCCAAAGGCGAUGAUGGUAUGACAUGCCCGACGUCGUUCGACCGUGUGUGCUGCCCAUAGGUGAUGAUGGCAUGCCACACAAACGUCGUUCGACCGUGUUUGCCGUCCAAGGGCGAUGAUUGCAUGCCACGCCUGACGCCGUCCGACUAUGUGAGCUAGUCCAAAGGUGAUGUAAAGCCAUGCCCGAUGUUGCUGACCGUUUGUGCUGUCUAAGGGAGGUGAUGUCAUGCCACGCCCGACGUCGUCCUACCGUGCGUGCAGUCCAAGGGCGAUGAUGUCAUGCCACGCCCGACGGCGUCCGACCGUUGUCCGACCGUGUGUGCCGCCAAUGGAAGAUGAUGUCAUGCCACGCCUGACGUCGUUCGACCGUGUAUGUUUCCCAAAGGCGAUGAUGGCAUGCCACGCUCGACGUCAUUCGACCGUAUGUGCUGCCCAAAGGCGAUAAUGGCAUGUUAUGCCCGACGUCGUUCAACCGUGUGUGCUGGCCAAAGGCGAUGGUGUCAUGCCACGCCCAACGUCAUCCGACCUAGCGUGCCGUCUAAGGGCGGUAAUGUCAUGCCACGCCCGACGUCGUUCGACCGUGUUUGCUGUCCAAGGGCGAUGAAGUCAUGCCACGCCCAAGGUUGUCCGACAGUGCAUGCAGUCCUAAGGCGCUGAUGUCAUGCCACGCCCGACGUCGUUCGACCGUGUUGGCCGUCCAGAGGCGAUGAUGGCAUGUCACGCCCGACGUCGUUUGACCGUGUGUGCUGUCCAAAGGCGGUGAUGUCAUGACACGCCCGAUGUCUUUCGACCGUGCGUGCUGCCCAAAGGAGAUUAUGGCAUGCCACGCCCGACGUCAUUCGACCGUGUGUGCUGUCCAAAGGUGGUUAUGGCAUGUCACGCCUGACGUCGUUCGACCAUGUUUGCCAUCCUAGGGCUAUGAUGGCAUGCCACGCAUGACGUCGUUCGACCGUGUGUGCUGCCCAAAGGCGAUGAUUGAAUGCCACGCCUGAUGUCGUUCGACCAUGUGUGCUCUCCAAAGGCGAUGUUGUUUUGCCAUGCCUGACAUAGUCCAACUAUGCAUGCAGACAAGGGCAUUGAUGUCAUGCCACCCCGACGUCGUUCAACCGUGUGUGUAGUGUCCAAGGGCGGUAAACUCAUGCAACGCCCCACGUCGUCCAACCAUGCAUAGAGUUUUAGGGCGGUGAUAUCAUGUCACGCCCGACGUCGUUCGAUUGUUUGUGCUGCCCAAAGGCGAUGAUGGCAUGCCACGCCCGACGUCGUUCGACCAUGUGUGAUGUCCAAAGGCAAUGAUGGCAUGUCACGCUCGAUGUCGUUCGACCCGUGUGUGCUGUCCAAAGGCAAUGAUGGCAUGCCACGACCGACGUCGUUCAACCGUGUGUGAUGUCGAAAGGCGAUGAUGUCAUGCCAUGCCCGACGAAGUCUGAUCGUGCGUACCGUCAAAGGGAGGUGAUAUCAUGCCACGCCCAAUGUCGUUUGAUCGUAGGUGCUGUCCAAGGGCAGUGAUUUCAUGCCACGCCUGACGUCGUCCGACCGUUAGUGCCGUCCAAGGGCGGUGAUGCCAUGCAACACCCGACGUCGUUCGACCGUGCGUGCUGUCCAAGGGCUGUGAUUUCAUGCCACGCCCGACGUCGUCUGACCGUGCGUGCAGUAAAACGGCAAUGAUGUCAUGCCACACCCGACGUCGUUCGACAGUGUGUGUUGUCCAAGGUCGUUGAUGGCAUACCACGUUCGACAUCGUUUGAAUGUUCGUGCUGUGCAAGGGCAGUGAUGUCAUGCCACGCCCGACGUCGUUCGACCGUUUAGCUUCCCAAAGGCGAUGAUGGUAUACCAUGCCCGAAGUCGUUCGAUCGUGUGUGCUGCCCAUAGGCGAUGAUGGCAUGCCACGCCCGACGUCGUUCGACCGUGUGUGCUAACCAAAGGCGGUGAUGUCUUGCCAACCCGACUUCGUUCGACCGUGUGUGCUGCCCAAAGACGAUGAUGGCAUGCCACGCCUGACAUCAUUCGACCGUGUUUCCCAUUCAAGGGCGAUGAUGGCAUGCCACGCCUGACGUCGUCCGACUGUGUGAGCAAGUCCAAAGGCGAUGAUGGGAUGCCACAUCCGACGUAGUCCCACUGUAUGUAGUGCCUAAAGGCGGUGAUGUCAUGCCAUGCCUGACGUCGUCUGACAGUGUGUGCUGUCGAGGGACGGUGAUGUCAUUCCUCGCCCGACGUUACCGACCGUGUGUGCUGUCCAAGGGCGGUGAUGUCAUGCCACGCUCGAUGUUGCCGACCAUGUGUGCUUUUCAAGGGAGGUGAUGUCAUGCCACGCCCGACAUCGUCCGACCAUGCGUGCAGUCCAAGGGCGGUGAUGUGAUGCCACGCACGACGUCGUCUUACCAUGCGUGCAGUCCAUGGGCGGUGAUGUCAUGCCAUGCCCGACGUCAUCCGACUGUGUGUGCUGUCAAAAGGUGGUGACGUCAUGCCACGCCCGACGUAGUCUUACCGUGUGUGCUGCCUAAGGGAGGUGAUGUCAUGCCACGCCCGACUUCGUUCGAUCGUGUGUGCUGCCCAAAGGCGAUUAUGGCAUGCAACGCCCGACGUCAUUCGACCGUGUGUGCUGCCCAAAGGCGAUGACGGCAUGCCACAAUCGACGUCGUUCAAACGUGUGUGUUGUCCAUAGGCGGUAAUGUCAUGCCACGCCCGACGUCGUCCCACAGUGUGUGCUAUCCAAGGGAGGUGAUGUCAUGCCACGCCCGACAUCGUUCGACCGUGCGUGCAGUCUAAGGGCGGUGAUGUCAUGCCACACCAGACGUCAUUCGACUGUUUAUGCUUCUCAAAGGUGAGGACGGCAUGCCACGCCUGAUGUCGUUCAACUGUGUGUGCUGUCCAUAGGCGGUGAUGUGAUGCCACGCCCGACAUCAUCCUACAAUGUGUGCUGUCCAAGGGCAUUGGUAGCAUGCCAUGCCCGACAUCAUUAGACCGUGCGUGCAUUCCAAGGGUGGUGAUGUUAUGCCACGCCAGACGUCGUUCGAUCGUGUGUGCUGUCAAAAGGUGGUGAUGGCAUGUCAGGGAUGACGUCGUUCGACCAUGUUUGCAGUCCUAGGGCCAUGAUGGCAUGUCACGCCCGACGUCGUUUAACCAUGUGUUCUUCCCAAAGGCGAUGAUAGAAUGUCACGCCCGAUGUCAUUCGACCGUGUGUGCUGUUUAAAGGCGGUGUUGUCAAGCCACACCCGACAUAGUCCGACCAUGCGUGCAGACAUUGGCGGUGAUGUCAUGCCACCCCCGACAUCGUUCGACUGUGUGAGCAGUGUCCAAGGGAGGUGAAAUCAUGCCACAGCCACGUCUUCAAACCGUGCAUAGAGUCCUAGGGCGGUGAUUUCAUGCCACGCCCGAUGUCGUUCGACCGUUUGUGCUGCCCAAAGGCGAUGAUGGCUUGCUACGCCUAACGUCGUUCGACCGUGUGUGUUGUCCAAAGGCGGUGAUGGCAUGUCACGCCCAAGGUCGUUCAACCGUGUGUGGUGUCGAAAGGCGGUGAGGUCAUGACAUGCCCGAUGUAGUCCACCGUGCGUGCCGUCCGGGGGCGGUGAUGUCAUGCCACACCCGACGUCGUUCGACCAUAGGUGCUGUCCAAGGGAACAAAUGUCAUGCCACGCCCGACGCCGUCCGACCGUGCGUGCUGUCCAAGGGCGGUGAUGUCAUGCAACGCCCAACGUCGUUCGUCCAUGGGUGCUGUCCAAGGGCAGUGAAGUCAUGCCACGCCCGACGUAGUCUGAUCAUGCGUGCAUUUAAAGGGCGAUGAUGUUAUGCCACAUCUGACGUCGUUCGACAGUGUGUGCUGUCCAAGGGCGUUGAUGGCAAGCCACGCCCGACAUCGUUCGACUGUGCAUGCCGUCCAAGGGCGGUGAUGUCAUGCCACGCCCGACGUUGUUCGACCGUUUAGCUUCCCAAAGAAGAUGAUGGCAUGCUAUGCCCGAUGUCGUUCGACCUUGUGUGCUGCCCAUAGGCGAUGAUGGCAUGUCUUGCCCAACGUAGUUCGACCGUGUGUGCUAAUCAAAGGCGGUGAUGUCUUGCCUCCGGACGUUGUUCGACCGUGUGUGCUUCCCAAAGGCGAUAAUGGCAUGCAACACCUGACGUUGUUCGACCGUGUUUGCCGUCCAAGAAGAUGAUGGCAUGCCACGCCUGACGCCGUCUGACUAUGUGAGCUAGUCCAAAGGCGAUGAUGGGAUGCCACGCCCCAUGUCGUUUGACCAUGUGUGCAGCCCAAAGGCGAUGAUGGCAUGCCACACUGAUAUACCGUGGUUUCACGGUAUAAUUAAUACCUUUUCCUUAAGUUUAUUGUGUCCGAAAGCCUUUUUCUGCUAAUUUUGAUAUAAGUUUUUCUUUGUUUUGCAGGAAAUCUGUCUAAAGCUGAAUGCGGAGAUUUUGAGCGAAAAAUGCAGAAGAGACCACCUACGAAGCUUAUGACGGUCCGUCGUGCUUGUGACGGUCCGUAGGUGGCCGCGUAGAGAAGCUGCUGAAGGAAGAUGGGGAAGUCUGACCAAGUGUGGGAUUACGAAGCUUGUGACGGUCUAUCCUGCAGGUUCGUCGCGAAGAUCAGAGAAGUGAUCCCAGUACCCAGAUUCAAAGAGUUGAAGUAUUUGGUAACGAAGACCCUCGAUGGACCGUCGUGCCUGUGACGGUCCGUCACACUUGCCGUUGAGGGGAAUGAAGAAAGCAGCAGAAGAAUUGCACCAAGUAUGGGGCGACGGAGCCCACGACGGUCCGUCAUGACCACGACGUUCCAUCGCGUGGUCCGUCGACCCAGCCGCGUUUUGACAGAUUUCCAAUAAUUAGAAUCCUUGUUUAAUUAGGUUUUUAUUUUUUUAUAAAUAGUUCGAAAAACCUCGUUUUUGAGGUUACACUCUUGGAGAUUAAACAUCAUAUUAUUAGACAUUGUUUUUCUGAGUUUUUGAUUGUUGGAGAUUCUUACAAGUAACUCUUGUUGAUUAAUCAAGCAAAUUUUCAGACUUUAUUCUUUCUCAUCAAAGUAAGUACAUGAGUUCUUGUUUAAUAUAUUUGAAUAUUGUGUUUAUGGAUAUGAGGAACUAAACUCUAUAACUAGGGUUGUGGGAACCAUAGGCAAAUAAUGAGAUAAACCCUAGCUAAAAUAACAAUUCUAGAAUAGUGUCUUGCAUGUAUUAAUAAUUCUUUUGCUUAGAAAUCUUUUUAACGGAUGAUCAACGUUAGAACUCGCCUUAAUGCUACUUGCUGGACCAAGGAGGUAGAUAAUAGGAAAAGAAUUAUUAACAUAGAUUUAGUGUAUACUAUCUAAUAGGCUAGUAUUGAUUGGUACAAGGUAAUAACUGAGUCAAAUAUCGAAUAUGAUGCUUAAUAUGAGGUAAGGAUGAGGGUUAGGAAAGCAACACACGUAGCCGGACCAAGGUGCGGAGUGAGAUUUUCUAGAUGCCGGACCAAGGAUUUAGAAAUACAUAGCUUAUCACUUUGCAUGGAAGAUACUAGGAAAGAAUUGUUAUAGCUAGAAUUAUCAAGUUAUGAACCUGUGGGGAACACGUAAACCCUAGUUACUUUGAUUACUUGAUUAAAACUCAACAUUAAAAGCUGUUAAGUGUCUCUGUCAAGUUCGUUAGUUAUUUUUUUUAGUUUAUUAGGAAGUACAAAACCCCCCUUUUAUGCUUUUACUUUUUAAGGAAGUCAUCAACCGAACAAUAGUAAUAACAAGUUGGAGUUAAGUCUAGACUAUUUUCCUCGUGGGAACGAUCCCAACCUCACUAGUUGGGUUAUUUACUUGACGCGACCGCUUUACUUCUCAUUUGAGAAGUAAGUUUGAGCGUAUCAAAUUUUGGCGCCGCUGCCGGGGAAUUUAGCUUUUAGAUUAACUUGAACUUCUUACUAUCGUUUAGUUGAUAGUUUCUUGAUUUUACUUUGUUUUAUUGUUUUUGAUUCCUUUUCAGAAUUAUCCUCCUUGUAUGCCAAAUACACGGAGAGGAAGAGAACCGUUGUUCCCCUACGAUCACGAGCUAGAACGUACACUGCGAAACAUGAAUCGUAACUUGGGAAUCAAUGAUGAGGAUCCAAACCAGAACAUCCCAGCUCCGGCUGAUGUUCAUGGUCAGAUGUUACCCGAUGCUCCGGGUGAACAUCAACAGAAGGGACAGAAUCCCGCUCCACGGCCCCAAGCAUACUACAGAGGCUAUGAUAACAUAGCAGAUUCGGACGGUCCAUUGGUUUUGCCUCCUCUACCUAAAGGCCACACUUUUGUGGUAACUAGUAGUCUGAUGCAAAUGCUCACUGCCAGAGGUUUGUUUUCAGGGCUACCUUCUGAGGAUCCACAUGCCCAUAUAGCUAAGGUAAGGGCAGUGUGUAUGAGUUGUGUGGGGAGGCCUGAUUUGGAUCUAGAUGUAAUAGGUCUCAGAGUGUUUCCUCUCUCACUGACGGGAGAGGCUGCUAUGUGGUUUACUGAGCUUCCAUACAACUCUAUUUUUACUUGGAACCAACUACGGGAUGUCUUCUUAGCACGCUACUAUCCAGUCUCCAAGAAAUUAAACCACAAAGACAGGGUGAAUAACUUUGUGGCACUACCAGGAGAGUCAGUUAGUAGUUCUUGGGAUAGAUUCACCUCAUUCUUGAGAAGUAAGUUUGAGUGUAUUGAUGAUGAGUCACUAAAGGAAUACUUCUAUAGGGGACAGGAUGAUAAAAAUAAAGCGGUGUUGGACACUAUAGAAGGUGGAUCUUAUGGAGAAUGCCUUUAUGCUGAGAUUGCUGAGAAAUUAGAGAAAAUCUCCCGUAACAACAAAGCUUGGAGUACUAGGAAGUCCGAUACAGGGAGAAACACCUUGGCAGUGCAGUCCACUCACAACCCAGCCACAGAUGAUAUUCGGGAAGAAAUGGCUCAGAUGAGAACUGAGCUUGGGUUUGUACUAAAACAUGUCACUAGGGGUGCAGAAAAGAUUAAUGCAGUCAACUACUUGGCUAAACCACCACCCCCUAACGGUGAAUGUUACUAUAAGGAGGAUUCCUAUGCAGUCAAUGAACAAAUGGGGGGUUUCCGACCAAGCGCCCAAGGCUGAAAUCAGGAUAAUUGGCGCCAAGGUCAAGGUAACCAAGGUCGAAACUAUGGUAACUACAACCGUGAGGGUCAUUAUGUCCGAGAUGGUAACUACAACUGCGACAACAACUUCAACAGGAGUAACUAUGGUAAUAGAAACGACAGGAGUGGACCCUAUGUUCCUCCUCAAAAUCGUGAAGUUACUCCUAGGGAUGGUGGAGAUAGUAUGGCGCGAGUUGAGGAUAUGUUGCACAAAAUGAUGAGGAGGUUCGAUGCUAGUGAUGAGCACAUUAAAGAAUUAAGGGGUGAUUUAGCUAGUAUUGGGCAAAAAGUGGACACACACGCAAUUUCGAUUAAACAGAUCGAAUUGCAAGUGGCCCAAUUAUCUGCGACAGUGAACACACGGCAACCGGGCACUCUUCCUAGUAACACUGUCCAAAAUCCAAAGAAUGAUGCACACUGUAUGGCAAUUACUACUCGGGGUGGUAGGCAAACCAUUGACCCACCCAUGCCAUCUGCUGAGAAAAAUGUAAGAAAGGAUAAUGAUAAGGUGGUAAAGGGUAGUGGUGAAACAGAUGAAAGUAAUGUAACAGAUGCAGAAGUACCCAUCAAGGUAAUCCCCAUGCCUAGGCCACCACCACCCUUCCCUCAGAGAUUAGUGAAAAAGACUGAGGAUGGUAAAUACCGGCGCUUCAUAACAAUGUUGAAGCAGCUCUCUAUCAAUGUCCCUUUGGUAGAAGCUCUAGAACAAAUGCCCGGUUAUGCCAAAUUUAUGAAAGAUCUGGUCACCAAGAAAAGAUCGGUCACGUUUGAGGAUGAUGAUAGAUUGCAGCAUUGUAGUGCUAUCGCUACAAGAUCCCUAGUACAAAAGAAAGAAGAUUCGGGUGCGUUCACUAUUCCUUGCACAGUUGGGUCAUUACAUUUUGCGAAAGCAUUAUGUGAUCUGGGGGCAAGCAUAAAUCUAAUGCCCCUCUCAAUUUACAAGAAGUUGGGUUUGGGGGAUCCAAAACCCACUGCGAUGCGGCUACUGAUGGCCGAUCGGACUGUGAAAAAGCCCAUAGGGAUACUCCAUGAUGUGCUAGUAAAAGUGGAGUCAUUCAUCUUUCCAGCAGAUUUUGUUAUUCUUGAUUGCGAAGUCGAUUUCGAGGUGCCCAUUAUUCUUGGGAGGCCAUUUCUUGCUACAGGUAGAGCCUUAGUUGACAUGGAGAAGGGACAGAUGACAUUUCGGUUGAAUAAUGAAGAAGCAACCUUCAACAUUUGUAGGACCAUGAGGAAGAGUGGUGAGCUCCAAUCGGUAUCUGCCAUAUCCCACAAAGAAAAGAUGAAGAAGGGGACUGAACAAAAAUUUGCAAAACAAGAGUUUGUGGUUGGGGAUUUGGUACUUGUAGACAGUUCUGGGGUGCCUUGUCUUCCAGGUAGGCUCAAGUCCAAAUGGACUGGCCCUUACUUGAUUACCCAAGUAUUCCCUCAUGGGGCAGUUGAGUUAAAAGCCAAGGAGGGAGUGCGGUUUAAGAAGAAUAGAGAUAGAAUAAAACUCUAUUUUGGGCAUAAAGCAUCGGGGAAUAAAGUGAUAGAGGCAUGCCAUCUUGAUGAAGUCUGACUAAUCAAGUGGCCCCAUUCGUGCCGCGACGUUAAAUCUGGCGCUUGUUGGGAGGCAACCCAAUACUUAUCGUCUUUUUAAUAAUGGUAGCAUUUUUCUAUAAAUGGGUUUUAAAUUUGCAGGCACAUCACCAGGAAAUUCUGCAGAAAACUACUCCGCAAUAGCCACUGACGGAUACAACGACGGACCGUCGCGAGUUAAGCGGACCGUCGUAUGCACCGUCACACCAGGUACGUAUUUCUGUCAUUUUUGAAAUUAGGGCACACACGACGGACACCACGACUGGGCGUCGCAUGUGCGACAGAACGUCAUCGGGGAACCGUCGCACGAUUAAUGAAAUUAACCCGACCCGACCCGGCUGGACCCCUUUUCAAAAUUUGACCAUUUAUACUCCCCACCCCUCCAUAUUCCACCCCAUUACUUCCACUCCCUCUCAUCUCCCCUCUCUUUUCCACUUCCACACUUCCCCCACUGAUCAUUACUUCCACAAUCUCCCCAACCUUAUUACUAUCAGUUACUUGUCGGUGCUGCUGUUUUUGGUAUCUACCUUGCCACCUGAAUCAUUCCCCACUUGUGUUUUCUCCAUUUCCAAGGUACUAUUGACUAUGGCACCCAAGCAAGACCGCACUUAUGCAUGCGGGCGAUCUAAGUCUGUCGCCCCGUCUGCACGCUUGAUCAUCAGGUAUGAUGAUGAGCAGGACCCUGAAUACAUGCCCCCAGGCACCUCCGCCCCUUCCCGUGCUACACGUGCCCCCAAAGGCACACCCAAGACGGUGGCGUCCGGCGUAGUAACUGCCUCCCAGUCUGAUGAGGAGCGCACACUGACCGGCACACCCUCUGGGUCGGCCAUAAACGAGGAAAGAGCAUCUGGCUCCUUGGAAGCAUCCUGGUCCGAGGAAGCUUCAGGAUCUGCUGAGGUUCCUGCACCCGCCACUGCUGCAGCGUCGGCCUCGUUGGAUGAGGCUGACAGUUCAGACUCCACAUCCGGCGCACAAGCCCCGGUCCCCACCCUAGCCUCUGACCAGCCAAACCGGUGGUGCGUUGAAGGCCAGUUUCAAGUUUACUCCGACGCGAAGUUCUUGACCGAUAAAGGAGUAAUGACUCGAACACUCAUCCUGGAGCGGUGGGUACUUACAGGGAGUCUCCCCUCGAUGCCGGAGAUCCACAACAUAUUCACCAGGUAUCGCCUAGAGUGGACAGCCCGUCCCUUGGGACGAUACAGUAAGGAGAUGGUCCGAGAGUUCUACGCGUCCUACGUAGCGACUCUCCGAUCACAGAUCGACAGGCGGGCUGCUCCCGUGAAACAGGCCCCAUUAGAGCAGGUUCUAGUCCGGGGCGUGCAGGUUGACAUUUCCCUGCCCGCCAUCUGCCGGUUCCUAUACGGCGAGAGUGCAGAUGCUACUCGGACCCCCAUCACUGCCGAGUUUGACUACCGCUGGCAGGUAGUGAAGGAUGGACAGUUCCUGCGAGAGCCAGCACUGAGGGAGACCACCAAGCGGUGGAUGGCCCUACACUUAUCAGUCGACGGAGAGGGUGCAGAUUGGGUCACCGAGCCGAAGGGGGCCAUCAAGAAGGCCAACCUCACGUUCGUCGCCAAGUUCUUGUGGCUGCUCGUGCGUCACUGCCUUUCCUCCACAGCUGCUGAUAACAUAGUCACCUGGGAUCGAGCAGUGCUGAUGGCGGCGAUGAUAGCCGGCUUCGAGGUGGACUAUGCAUGGCUUCUCCAGGCAGUCAUGCACGAGAGGGCAUUCAAGGUCACCACCACCUACCCCUUUCCGUGCAUGAUCUUUGCCCUUUUCAGGUCUGCAGGUGUGCCCAUAUGGCACAUAGAUCAGUUGAGGACCCCGCCGGGUACCGUUGACGUCGGCCUCAUCAGAGACGAGGCCAAUGAGUUGGCCCCACGUCGAGGGCCCCGUCCAGAGCUGCCACCACUAUCUGAUGACCUUGCGGAUACGGUGGCCCAGGCUCGCACAGCUACACAGGCAUCCACGGACACUACCCCGGUCGAGUCUAUCCCGGGUAGUAGCACAGCCCCUCUACCGACACCGGCCCCGCUUGCCCGAGUCCAAAAACUGGAGGCACAAAUGGCCACUCUUCUGCAUCAUAUCCAGCCGUGGAUGCAGAAGUCUAUUGCUGAGUCUGAGGCGCGUAUGGAGAGGCAGAUGCAGCGGAAGAUUGCUGAGGUUAACCAGCGCCUCGAUGCCUUUGAAUUGAGAGUAUUAGCUCGACCAGCCCCUCGGUAGAUAUGUCGACUCUCCAGGCUACAGUCGCCAGUCUUCGUGCAGACAUCAACACGAUCCUAGCGGCAAGAGUGUCAGAGUCUGUCGAGCCUGCUGAGGAUACUGUAUUGGCGGCUCUGUUUCCUACUCCAGACCUUCCCCCAUCUUCCCCGAGAGAGAGUGCCAAGAGGCGGAGGGGUCGAUCAGAGGAUGAGGCGCGAGCAAGAAAGAAGGAGCGCCGAGAGAUGGAGGCCGCGAGGAGAGCCUCACUUGCUGAGGCGGAGGCACACCAGAUCAGAGCAUCACAGAUAGCGGCUGGGGCGUCUAGCUCCCGCACUGUAGAGACAGCAGGAGGCACUACUGAGGGUGCAGUUGUUGCUGAGGACAUCACUAAGGGUGUCCAGAUUGCAGAGGAUGUGGGUUCUGGGAAACCAGACCCACCAGCUUGUUGAUCGACGGCGCUAUGCGCCACAGGUUUGCUUCACCUACCCCUCUAAUCUUUAGAUUUUUUUAUGCAUUGGGGACAAUUGCAUGUUUUUUUGUUGGGGGUGGGGUAAAUGGAAAGUGAGUGUUAGGGUGAAGUCUGAGUAGCCCAACUCAAUAUCCUCUUUUGGGGUUUUCUUGCCUGUGUUCUUUUCCCCCAAAAGACUGAUUACUUUUUCUGUUGAACCGGCACGUUAUAUCUUUUGUACAUAGUUUAACUCUGAAGCAUGAUGGCUGAAAUGAUAUCCCGAUAAAACUGGAAAAGGUUGCAUGAAAAGGCGUAGUAACUGAUAAUUGUGUGGAUCUAAACAUGAAAUAGAGUUACACCAUUGCACUACCCUAAACCUUCAAGUCGAACUAGGUGUCUGAUAAUCUGGUAUAGUGAUGAGAUGUCAAGUGAGUGUGAGGAAAGUUGAAUAGUCCACUACUGAUACUGAGCUAGAACUUGCCUGGUUAGUCCUGCUAAAAGUAAGCUGUAACAUACAAUUAGGAAAGGAUCAUAGGCCCUUAUUCAAUAUAGCCCAUUUCUAGCCUAAAUAAAAGAAACCAAAUGAAAGUUAUCCUUCGUUGAUCCAAAUAAUUUGAGCUUAAAAUUAGACCUUUCUUUUUCACCCCAACUGAUCUUUUCUGGGAACAAUAUGUUGGCCCUGGUCCCUCCUUGGACAUGUGCACCUCAGCUUAUGCCAAAAGCAUAAGUUGAGGGUGGCUAAUGUAUAAAAAAACCUUCGUUAUGGCCCUGACCCGAUUUUGGGUAUUGUGUACCUUGACUCAUGGCAAAGCCAUGAGUUGAGGGUGGCUGUUUUGAGGAAUGCUCUGGAAAGUGGGGUUGAAAGAAAAAGAGAGAGAAAGAA
rnacentral:lncRNA from 1 species